rnacentral:lncRNA from 1 species
ACGUGUUACCUAAGUCUAAGAAAUUUUGUCACAAUCAAACUCAUGUUUAAACCAUGAGUUCAGGACAAAUUUUUUGCCAAAAGAUUACGGACCAAACUAUGAUUUUUUGAUAGUUCAUGGACUACCAGCACAAUUCACGUAUUAUAAAACACAAAAUAAAAUUUUCUGACCAAACAACUUGUGAAUUCAUGUUCUGUGCCGAAACUGUCAUAGAAACAUUAGAAUGUGAAACUAAAAGACUAGACAUUCAAUGUCAAAAGCAACUGCAAGAAUAUAAAUCUUAUUUCGACCAAAACAUAAAAAAAAAAAAAAAAUCUUCUUCCAGUUUCGUAUCAUUGCACGACUAAAGUAUUGCAGGGAAUGCUACUAGCUCAACUUUGUAGUUCAACUACCCGAUUACAAUUUCAUGGGAGGCCAUUUCAAGCCAUGCACUGUUGAUUCCAAUUUUGUUUCCUUUAAGAUCAUUUUGUUUCCAUUAAUGAACACCAAACCAAAUAGCAGUACAGUACUAUUCUAUCAUUCUGGAAUAAGAAAGUCAGAAGAUCACAUAACUUUAUUCUAUCUUGUUAGUCACCUCUGCAAUAAUGCAAAGGCUUGGUGUCUAAAUUUCACGCAAUAACAUAUCGCUUUACAAAGCGCAUUAUAAUUUAUAACUUGUGGGGAUUCCACAAUCUUUAAAUAUUAGCCAUACAACAUAUCAGUGGAAUAAAGUAUAUAACAGCAUUAUGUCACACUUCCUUUCACUUUUCCCUUCAUUGGUUUCUUAGUAUAAAAGAGUCUGCUUGGCGUGAACACGGAAAUUAAUUUGGUGUAAGAUCAUUUGCUCUUUAUCCUUUGUCCAUGUCUUAUUUUGCUCUUCUAAUGAUUUAUGAUUUAUGAUUAACAUAGCUCCAAUUUUGGCAUUUUUUUUUUAUGCCUGCAAUACUUAUCCAGAGCCCUAUACCCAUCAAAUUGUUGGUUUUUUUUUUUUUAAAAAAAAAUUAGCAUCAUUUACUUCGCCUACUUACAACGCUAAAUUGGUUCAAAAAAAUUUAUUCCUAACGGGUACAUAUCACGCUUCAUGUCUCUUGCAUGUGGGCCCCACCUCUGUAGUUCAUAUAACCGGUACAUCGAAGACAGGGAGCGUAUUAGCCGUCCAAAUUUUUGGAUUUGAAUAAACGGACGGUUGAGAUCAUUCUUACAGGAACCUUGUGUGGUGUAUAAGCAACUAGCUGUUGGGGCUGGAGAGAGAGAAGAGGGAGGGGGGGGGGGGAUNGGGGGGGAUCGAUUUGUCUUGAUUCACCUUCUCUUCUUCGUCUCGAAUCCUUGGAGAAGCGCUUCUGAUUUGGGCUUCUCGCCCCCGCAAAUUGCCCGAAAAAGCGCUUUUAGAUCUCUUUCCAGCUCGAGAUUUGGGCGAUUUCUAGGUUUAGGGCUUCGGACGAGGAGCCGAUCGCGCCAUGGGGCAAGCCUUUAGGAAGCUCUUCGACACCUUCUUCGGCAACAAAGAAAUGAGGGUUUGCGCUCUAUUUCCCCACUUUCUUGCUCUUUGAUUGGGCUUUUCUUUAUCUCGAUGUGUUGUUGGAAGCUGGUUUAGAUCGAUUUGUUAUUCUAUUUGCUUCGAUUUGGAUGCUAUGUUAGUUUAUUGGUGGUUUGAUUCAUCUUGUUCAUGAUCUGGGGAUAGGAAUCGUUUUGAGUAGUUAAAGAGCCGUGAUGAAGGAUUGAGCUGAUUGAUAUAGAUGGAUUAUUUGUUUUUUUUUUUUGGUAGCGAAAGGAACAUAUUGGUAGAAAAAUGAUUGGGGCCGUGGGAAAUUGUGCCCACAUCUGAAGAAUAGUUACACCAAUUCAGGCUUCGGCGGGUUCUUUAAAUGAGAAGGUUGCUGGAUCCGGAAAAUUUGUUCUAAAAGUUUUGUGGGGAUAUAACAUGUGUGAGUAAAGGCAUCAGGACUAGAUAAGGUAGAACAUAAGUAUAACAAUGGGAGGAAAACAAGGACGAUUCUUACAUGAGAUUAGAUGGGAUUUAGGAGAGGACGGGCCGUAAGAACCUUUAACAUGAAGUAACAAGAGAAGAAUAAAGUGUAUAUCAUAAUUUGACCUUUGAAGAUCCGAUACUGGAUUUGGUUCAAGAAGUUAAAGGAGAAGAGCUUUUAUUGCGGAUAUGGCAAUCGUUGGUGUUGACUUAGUUGGUUUUUUUUCAUAAACAAGGACCGUUACAACAUAGCAGAACGAAUACAACUGUUGUGGCUAAUGAAUUGUAACACCUGUAAUUGCUCAUUAUCUUAGUAGAUUUCAUGGAAAGCCAUAAAAGGAAUGUUGCAUAUAUUUCUUUUAACAUUUAAAAUGAUCAUGGUCUUGGCUUUUUACUGGUUCUUAUGCCUGAUUAUCAUAUGGCUGCAUAAAAAUGCAAAUCAAGUACUUUAGCAGUUUACCUGGUGAUUUCACACUCUUACUGCAAUUAUUAAGUUAUUGUCGUACUUGAUUUCUGUGGAUUAUCUCAUGCUACAGGUAAUUAAUAGUUGCUCUUGCUGCCAUUGGAAUUUAGUUUUGUGAUUCUUGUGGCAUGCAUUCCUGUUAUAUUUGUUAUUUAGUUGGUUAAUUUGUUUCUCGUUAAUAAAUGUUUUUGCAACAAUCUCUGCUAUUUGUUAUAUCUAGCUAUGUUUCAUUCAUGAAAAUAACCUCUUGAAUGUUUUCGGACAAUGCUCCUUAGGUUGUCAUGCUUGGGCUGGAUGCUGCUGGUAAAACUACUAUUCUGUACAAGCUGCACAUUGGAGAAGUACUAUCAACUGUUCCAACAAUUGGUACGUAUUAUGUUAUUAGCAUGAAAUUUUGGUAUGUAUUAACUGCAUACAUUGCAUGUCAUAUAACAUUUGUUUACUAGUGUAUCUUCUGCACCUGCUAUGCUUCAUGACACGUAUGUGGUAUUUUAGAUGUUCUAUAAAGUCAACAUUUUUCAUCUAGUACUGACUUGCCACCAGAACACAAGGAUCAAUAGUGGCUCUAGCCAUUGAUACCAAAUGCGUAUCGGCUCUUUCAUUUCAGGACUUGGGAAUUGAAAAUCUCUCUUUCAUUUCAGGAGUUGAGAAUUGAAAAUUCAUUAUGAAAUUGACAGUAUUUUAUAUCUAUUAGCAACUACUUGUCCAAUCAAGCAUGAUAAAGAAGCAGCUCUUUCCUUCAUGCCUUGCAGAUCUUUAUAUUUUAGUUGUUUACAUGUCAUUGUGGCGUGAGGUUAUCAUUUCUGUUUCUUAAUACACUAUCAAACAUCCAAAUUGUUUGCUUUUACGAGCUGUGAAACUUAGUUUUGUAUGUUGCGCUCACAAGAUCCUCUUAUUUAUUUGUUUUGUUGCCUGGUUAGGGAAUUUGAAAUCUGAUGCACUGCUUUAUUCUUUUCCUUUGUUCAAUCCAUGCAGGUUUCAACGUUGAGAAAGUUCAGUAUAAAAAUGUGAUGUUCACAGUGUGGGAUGUUGGCGGGCAAGAGAAACUGAGGCCCUUGUGGAGGCAUUAUUUUAAUAAUACCGAUGGCCUGGUGUGUAAUAAAUGCUAGUACAGAAAAGCACAUACCUGCAUGCACGCACGUUUUCAUUCGGAAAAAUCAAUUGAAACCUCGAGUCUUGGAUAGCGGACUGCCUUACAUGGUUUAUAGUAUCCUUUUUGUUUUUUUGGUCCUUUGCAAUAUUAAUUAUAAUGAUUAUUUUUUAUCCUUUGCUCUUAUGAGUUACAAUCCUUUAGUUUGAGGCUCUUAGCAAUGCACAUCUGUAACCACCCACGCUAGUCUUAAAAUUGAAAUCACUAGCCUCAUGGAGAUUCUCUUUAUUAGUCAUAAUAAACCACUGUGCAGUGAUUAUUCAUUAUUGAGAGCUUUCUAUAGGAAAUUAUGUUUUGAUUAUAAGGUUUGUAUGGUUUGCAUGCUCUGUUCUAAAUGUGUCAAUUAACUCUGAUAAAAAAGCAGAAGGUGAAUUAGAAAAGGGUGGGGGAGAGGUCUGGGGAGUCAGUAUCUCUAUCUCCUUAUUCUUUUAGUUAGAAUACAGGAGUCUUUGACAUGGCAACUACAGUAUUAUUUUGAAUUUGCUGGACAUUCUUUUUCCUAAUUCAUGCUUCUUCCCUUUGAUUGGUGGCUAUCCUACCCAUGUUGAUAUAUAAUUAUGUCAGGAAAAAUUGCAUUGUAGAAGGCAUAUUUGGUGAAGAAUAAUGAAAUAAUUUGGUGUAUUCUUCUCACUUGCAGAUAUACGUUGUUGAUUCGUUGGACAGGGAAAGAAUUGGAAAGGCCAAAGCUGAGUUUCAGGCCAUAAUCAAUGACCCAUUCAUGCUUAACAGUGUGAUAUUGGUGUUCGCGAAUAAACAGGACAUGGUAUGAUAUGUUGUCUUUUUCGGUAGUCUGAGCAUGCUGGUUAAAUAUAAUUCUGAACCAUUCUCUCGUGGGCAAAUGUAAUGCUUCUUCCUUAAAUUCUGGUUUUAUUUUUACUUUGUUCACAUAAGCUAAAUUUCGUAAUUUUUUGUUUUUGUUCUCUUCAAAAAGAUAAAACAUCCAUUCUGCACUGAAAUUUUUUAUUAUUCAGUUCUAUUUUUGAGGCAGUGGACAUGUUUACAUAUAACAUUAGUUCGAUACAGUGAAAUCUUGCUCGAACUCCAUGCUGGCAAGUCCACAUUGUCUGUGAGGCCUACCCCAAGUCUAGUGACAACGAUUGAUAAUAUGAUCAAACCAUGAUCACUAAGAUCUCUAUAAAUUGUUAUGUAAGUUGAAGUUUCAGACUAACUAUCAAACUUUUCUAUUCAGAAAGGCGCGAUGACCCCUAUGGAAGUAUGCGAGGGUCUAGGGCUUUAUGACUUGAGGAACCGCAUCUGGCACAUCCAAGGAACUUGUGCCCUUAAAGGUGAUGGUCUCUAUGAGGGCUUGGACUGGCUUGCAACCACUCUGAAGGAACUUCAAGCCUCAGGCCGCUCCACCUCGGUCGGAACGUCAUCUUACUGACUUUUAAGAGGUUCAUCCAAACGUCCUCAAAUUUUGCUUGAAUUUUCCCGGUUGUUUAGCUUGCAUUAACCUUUUUUUUUUUUUCCCCCAUAAUACGGUUCAGGUCUCCACAGAAUGAGUUGAUUUUCGCACGAGUAAAGCUGAAUGUAUUCGACCAGUUCAUAGUGCAGUUGUUUUAUGAUUUUCUCUGGUGUUAGCUUUGAAUUUGGUCAGAUUACAUUUGAUUUAGAAGCUAUCAUUAAGUAAUCUGCUUGUCUGUAAUCUUCUGCCCCUGAUAAAAUGAAAAAUUUAAUGCUGGGGCAUCACAUACUUCAGUGUAAAUUCUGCGACUCUUUCUGGGAAACGACACUUUUGAUAAUUUUCAUGCUUAAUCAAUGACAAUAGCAAAUGGAAAACAGGGAGAAUUUGCGAUUUCCGGGAAAAAAAAAAGUGGGAACGCUUUUAAUUGCAGUUCCUCCUAUGAGUGAAGGUUCCCUCUAUAUAGUGGGAACAGAGUUCAUGUUGUACACGUUGUGAUCCUUGCAUGUUGGUGAGUUCUCACAAAUGCAAUAAUUCCUAGUUUAUACGACCUUUUUGUUAUUGUUUUGUUUGUAAGCUUCAGCAGAAUUUCCAACAUCCGUAUUACUGAAACACAUUGUCUCAAAGACCAGUUGGCUUCCAGAAUUCUCUGGAUGAAAUGGAUUAUCAUUUCCUUCAACUUGCUAUCUCCCUGUAUAAUUAUACUACUUUGAAUUUAAGAUUAAAUUGGUCCCUGGAAUUUGGUUUUUUUAUUUUAUUUAUUUCCUUUGGUAUUUUAUGUUUUAAUUAUUUCGUAUGUCAUUACCAUAGUGAGUAAAAUGCAAUUUAACUAAGUAAAGAAGAGUCGCUGGUUGGUACUAACAUAAAAUUAUGGAUGAAAUAGGAAAGAAAAACACUAGGGACAAGCUUAAACAUGACUAAACCUGCGCGGCGAUAUCUACAAAACCACAUUCUAACAUGAUCUCCUCUCAGGAUGAUUCAAUUCCCCAUUUCUCAUACCGGCUAAAAUAAAUUCCAGAUUGCUUAUUUAAGUUGGUUGCAAAAUAGCAAUCAGUAGAUGUUCAAAGAAGAAAAAACUAUCCCCUUCAGGUGUAGAAUUUUGAAGGUUAGAUCACUGUAAUAAGGAGGAUCUCAACAAGAAAACAAGCUCAGAUGACUAGUCAUUUUCAAAAAUAUUGCUGUAAAAAUUUAACCUAAGACUACUUAGAACCGUUACUUUAUUCGUCCUUUAAAUUAAAAAGAAAUCGAGAACGCCUCAGAGGCGAAUUACGCACCGCGAAGGGCAUGUGCGUAAUGAUGAGCCAUCAAAAGGGCGAUAAAAUGGAGCCCGAUACAUCACUUACCCUCCAUUCCUAAUCGUGCGGCUCACAAUCGCUUCCUCAGGUUAGGGCAAUUUGCGCGGACGUGGGUGGCUUGGGCGAUACGCCGAGCUCAGGACAACGGUCAUAUUUUUCGAAAUUUUCAAUGGGAGCUUGAUCUCCAACGGUCACAUAUUUCGAAUUAGCCCCAUCAAUCUCUCUCUAUAUAUAUCCCUCGCCACUCUCCCAAUCCCCAGUCGAAAACCCACAUUCCCCGUCUCCUCCCUCAUCACCUCUUCGAAGAGAAGCUCUCCCCCCAGAAUCCAAUCCAAUCCAAUCGCAUCGAAGAGAGACGAUGGAUUUCCACACCCUCCCUCGUAGAGAUCUCCAGUUCCUCUGCAAGAAGAACAAGAUCCCCGCCAACAUGACCAACGUCGCCAUGGCCGACGCCCUCGAAGCUCUCCAAACCGUAAGGAAUCGCUCUCCUCUUCUUCUAUUACCAUUUCGAUUUCUUCUGAUCCUAAUUAGGGUUUCUUGUCGAUUCCGACCCUAAAUCAGGUUGAAGGGAUAGACGAGAUACUAAACGACGCAUCGAAGUUGGAGUCGCCCAAGAAAGCGGAGGCCGGUUCGCCGGAGCUGCCGCGCACCGCCUCGCGAAGGGCCUCAGCCCGCAGAGCACCGGCUGCGGAGGAGCCGAAGGGGACGCAGGGGAGUCCCCUGCCACGGUCUCGCCGAGUGACUGCGAAAGCCUUGGAGAUCCUGCAGCUGGUCGACGGCGAUGGGGUGGAAGACGAGGGGAAGCAAGAAGGGAAGAAGGAGAUGCCCAAAACGCCGGCUGCGGCUCUUCGUAGCAGCCGUAAGCCGCAAGGGACGGCCGGGAGAAGAGCCGCUAAGAAAGGCGAGAGCGGAGCUGAGGAGAUAGUAGGUGAGACUCCGGCGGCGGCGGCGGCGCCCGGUGCAAGAACUACGAGGAGAAGGACGAGCAAGAAAGAAGAAGAAGAGGGCGUCCACGAAGCUGCUGUCGAAGUCCCCCUCCCGACUCCGGCCACUCGCGGCGGGCGGAGGACGGCUGCUCGAAAGGCCGCCGCAGCGGAAGAAGAUGAGAAGGAAGAGGAAGCGGCGGCGGCGGCGGCGGCAUCCCGGACUACUGCACGGAGAACGAGGCAGACUGCGAGGAAGGCGAUGGAGAGUGCUGCGGCAUCUACUGCAGGAAGAAGGGUGACGAGAGCCAUGGCCGCAGCCAAGAUGGCGGAGUUGGAUCAGGAAGAAGAAGAAGAUAAUGAUCGGGUUACGGAAGGUGAGUGAUCCUAAUUGCCCUGAUGAUCUUCUCGUUUGGCUCUCUUUUUUUUUUUUUUUCUUGGUUUUGUUCUGAUUGCUGAUCAACGGUGGGCGACAUCGCAGGAAUUGAUGGUCCGAAGAAUGGUUCUCCUCAGGCUUCUGAUGAGAAAUCUGAUUCACUGAAGAACAUGGAAGUCUCGGACUCGAAGGGGGAUUUGGUAGAAAAGAUGGACGGAUGUGAAGGAGUUGAAAACGAAUGCAACGAGGAAGUGGGUGAACAAAAGCGGGAUCCCUUUUCUGGUUUGGAAGAUUCGCCGAUCAGAGGGCUCGUAUCUGAGGUGGAUCCUCUGAGUCUCUGUGAUGAGAUUGUCGAAAAGAGUCAGGAAAGUUCUAUCACAGAUCUAAUACCAGUGGAUUCUCAUCCGAUGGAGGAGAGGAAUGGAGGAGAUGCUCCGGACGGCAAAGAAGAAGGCAGAAGUGGCGAAGCUCUCAGCGGAGCUCUGAACGACGAUCUGAUUCUGUUGGAUUCUUCUAAACAGCUGGGAGGAAAUAAUCCGGAUGGAGAAGAAGAAGAAGAAGAAAGCAGAGAUGGCGAAGUUCUUAACCUCCCUCUCCAAGAUUCAGCUGAAUCGGAGACGAUCAAUGAUUCUAACCCUGAGAUCAAUCUAUUACCUGCAAACGAAAGCCCUGCCGAGAAGAAGGUUCUGGAGGACACAGAAGGGCUUUUGGAGAUCUCGUCUAUCUCUGGAGAGGUCCUGCCAAAGACGGCAGCAGAGUUGAGCGUCGCAAUGGAUGAUACCAGUUCUGCUGCAGAUCCCACCAGAUCUCCAGCCAAGGAGGAGGGCAUGUCGGAGGAGCUCAUCAACUCUUCAGUUAAAUCCUCACCUCUGGUCGGAGAUCCGACGGGAGAAAUCAUCAACUCCGUCACCGCAUCCCUCACGAAUAUUUCCAUAGAUACUGGAGAUCUGGUCGAGAACACAUCUGAUUCUGGCCUUGUUUUCGAAGCUCCAGAGGCUCAUCCGCUGGAUUCCAGUGAUUGUAGUAGUGUUGAAACCACCGUUGGAAUCACGUUGCCGGUGGAGGAAGUAGUGGAAGAAAAGAGCGCAGGGAAGGUGAGGGUGUCACUUGCAAUUUAUGAGGAGAAAACCAAUGCAGCUGAGAAUAAAGUCGCCGACUCGUUGGCCAUGGCGGCAGCCGAGAGCGGAGAAGUAGAGGGCCAAUUUAACCUGCUGCCAAAGGCUGUAGACCUGCACUCUUUAAGCCUGGGAAAGCUGCGAACUAUGUACAAGGAGAAGCUCAUAAAUGUGAACAACAACACUAAGGUAUAUAGUCAAUAAGUUACUAAUGCACCUUCCUCUCUCUUUUAAAUUUUAAAAUAUGAGUAGGUUAGCUAAUAUUAUUGUUCUAAUGUGGGUGUUUGAACUCCUAUGCUUGAUAGGUGAUGGAAGGGAAGAGGUUAGCUCUCGCAGAAUUGAAUGAGAACCUCCUAUCAUAAUUGAUGAUGAUGGUGAGAUAAAACAUGCUACUAGUACAAUGAAUGCGUGUGAGAUCAAAUAAGAGUUGGAUCCUACUCUUUUUUGGUGAGUUUUGCAUGUUUGGUUUUGAAUAUAUGAAUUUGGGUUGUGAAACCAUGGUUUCUCCAACCCCCUUUAUGGUCUUGUUUCUGGAAUUCCGGUAUUAUUGUCUGGAGAAGUAAUAAUGGAACUAUUUUUGUUAUAGUUUCUGUUUAGUCAGAUCGUUCGUCUGUAAUUGGUUGCGAUCGAACUAAAAAUGAGAUUUUCAGUAUUGUCAACAUUUUUUUUUUUCAAUUUGAAUGAAACUCGUCUGUUUGUUUCUACAUAUUCAUUUAGUUGCAUUCAUCUCCACGGAAUGCUUCAAGGUUUGAAUCUAUAUCUGGAGAUGUAAUAAUAAAAAUAUAUUUGUUGACGUAAAUUCUUCACACAAUUUUGAAGCUUAUUGGUGUAUCAACAUAUUUUCGACUGCUCCAUUGUUAUAAUAUUGGAUAGCUGAAACAUAGGAAUGUUCCUGUGAUUUAAGGGAAUGAACUAUGUUUCCUGCCUAGUUCUUUUAUGCUUUACGUUUUCCACAUGCAGAAGCGGAUAUAGAAAACCCUUCUAUGCUUUACUUUGUCCACAUGCAGAAGCGGAUAUAGAAAACCCUUGCAGUACUUUGUUGGUUCCAUUAAUCCAGGGAUGUGGAAAAUAAUCUUAUUUCCUAAAUUCAUUAGCGGGGACAUGAUCAAAAUCAAAUCAAAUAAUACAUUCUAGGAAUAGAUUAAAGAGGCAUUACAAAUGAUUAUUGCAGCUGCAAUUUGUACUGCUAAUGUGCAGAAGAGAAGGGGGCAUAUAAUUUCAGUGUAGUAACAGAUUAGAUGGCAAAUAUUGUGGGAGUUUGCAAGUUUAAUACGAUACUAUAGCUAUUAAAUUUUUUUUCUUUCUCUGUCAUCCAUUGUUCUGUAAGAUGAAAUUGCAGCUUGGCCUCCCAUGUUUACUGCUUUAAGUAAUUAACAUUUUUCAAGGUCUCAGAACACUGCAUUUUGCUAAAAUUCAUAAAGAAACUGAAAUUCCGGAGCAAAAUUUGCAUAAAUACUUAUCUUCUGCUCAUUUCAAUCAACUGAAUUGGUAUGUUAUUUUAGUACCACUGAGCUAAAAAGCCUUGAGUAGAUUUGUUACACUAGUUAUUUUCUUAAGAAACUGGUUUGCUUAUAUACAUCCUACAACUGCUAUUUUUCACCUCCACUUUUCGGGCAAACAUUACAAAUUUCUUUUCUGUCAUGAUCGUCGAAAUCUUUUGUUAUUAUUUUUACCAUUUUAACUUUGUUGAUCAAGCCUGCCUUGUUGAUCUAACCUUCUUCGUCCCUUAAUAUAAGGAAACUCUAAAAAUACAGCUGCAUCAGCAAGUGGUUUAUCCUCCCAAAAUCUAGUAGAAAAAUCUUGUCUAUGCUUUCGCCAAAGAAUCAGCAUAUGUACACUUUUCUCUAACACCUAGCUCUCGUUUCUGCGAUCAUUUGGGCGCGCAUGUUAGCCUCGUCUAUCUCAAUCCUUGCAAUAGCAUUGCAUAGAGGAGCUCAUUCCAUGCGUCGGGGACUCCAGGUAGGCACCAGUGGCUGCAGUCCUGGAUGGUUUCCGGGCUCCUCCGUCCUGCAGGCACCCGAUACACUGACGGGUGCCCAUCUUUCCUGUAGUCCGUCAUCCUUGUCACGUUGAGGUAGAGGACGGGUGUCCUCAUCUCCGCGAGCACAGACUCAAGAAUGGAUAUUAAGACUAGGUACCUCUUGGCUAGGUGCUUGUCGUCGGUGAUCGGGACCGUCUCCCCAUCACAGUUUCCUCCAGAAUUCCACUGCCCGCCACUGCAGAAAAGAAAUGGCAGCUAAAGUAAUAGUAGGAGAUGACUAAAUCGCACUUACAAACUUUAAGCAUUUCAUCGGGAUGAACUCGGGUCUAAGGGCCAAAAAGAAAUUCAUCCAUCUACACUGCAACAUUCUUCACCCUUCUGUUACUUAGAUUAGAUAGAUAAAAAGCCAGUUGGUUACCUGAAGUGACUCCAGGCGUAUCCGCGGAAGAAGACCCGCGUGCGGAGCGGGUCGAUGUGCUCGUCGACCCAUUUGGCCCAUGUGGUCAUAGCCUUGCGAUAGGCAUCCCCUGAACUCAGUCGAGGGUGCACAUAAUCACCUUCCUGAUAGUAGUUGAUUCUGCCGAGGAAUAAAAUAAAAUCCACUUUCUUAGUAUUAUCCCUAAUUAUUCUGCUACUGGAUCAAAUCAACCUAAGUUGCUCUUAAUGGAAUAAAUUGUAUGUAACUAUUUUAGACACCAAUUUGAUCUUCUAACCAUUCCAAGCAUGCUGCCAAAAAAAAUUAGCUUAAAAUGCUUGAGUUUCCUUGUCCUGCUUUUCAUUUUAUAGAUCACUUAUUAAGGUAUAACAAAUAUAACAUGACUUUUCUGAAAACAACAAAAGAAAAAGAAAACAAAUAUAACAUGAAUUACUCAGAAUAGCAAAGAAAGACUAUUUUUUGAGUGCUUUGCCCCAUCAAGACCAUCUAUCAUUAUAUCUUUUGAUUUUUUUUUUUGAAGAAAAGAAAAGAUAUUGCAGAUAAAUGAAGAGUUCAUGUAUUACCCUUUAGAGGUCUUCUCAUGUGUCCACCAGUGCCCCGAGUUGAAUAUUAUCACAUCAGCAUCUUUAUACCUUGUCGAUGCGCGAUCGAUCAUAUCGAGUCGGAGAGUCUCCUUCACUUUUCCUUUAGAAUCCCAUGGUUGCACAAGGAACGGCGACCAGGAGAACUCGACCGAACAGUUAUAAUCCUAUCCUUCAAAAGAAAACCCCCCCAAAAAAAAAGAAAGAAAAAAUUACUAUGCCAAAAACCAAUUUGAGCAAUCAUUUUAACAGCUGCAGUAAUCUACGAAACCUUACGAUGAAUCGAAAAGAAUAGGAACUCCUGGCUUUGAAGUCCUGCUUCCCGGAGGCCUCGAACACGCGAUCUUUGUCCUGCAAGGAGUGCCUCAACAUGCAGAGCAGUGAUUCCCACAUGUUGCGGUUCAGCGAAUCCCCGACGAAUACCAUCCUUUUCCCCCUCAACAUUUCCAGCAUUUUCUUCCCUUCUAGCCUGAUCAAAUCGAGCGACUAAUUCAGAAACCAUAAUUCAAAUCACAGCAGGGCAAAUGCAGAGUAAAUAAGAACUGGACAAAAAGAAGAAAUGAACUGCCUUUUUGGUGUAAAAUGAUCAGAGAGCGAAAAACCAAGUUCAAGAACAUAAAAAAAAGGCACAUUUUUGAGCAAAAGAGAAUAGACAAGGUGAUGAUGGUAUGUCAGGAGAUUGAAGGAACCUCGGCGCGGUGCAAUGCGUGGGCUGCCACCGCAGCUUGGUGUAGUUGAGAUCGCGCCGUCCGUUGCGGAAGCAGUUGAAUCCGCUGUCGACGAACGGGCACGAUCCGGCGGGGUAACUGGGGCUGGACUCGUCGUAGACCCAUCUCCCAUCAAAGAGAUUGCACCCUUCAACGCCUCUCUUCUUGCUUGAACCAGAACCAGAACCAGAACCAGAACCAGAUGCUUGGUAAGUAUUAGAAGCAGAGGAGGUGUGGUUCUUGGAAGGGGUGGGGUUGAAGAGGAGAGAGGUCAACUGGGGUCUACGGCCAUUGACGAUGAGGAAGAAGAGGAGGAGGAGGAAGAAGAGGGAGAAGGAGGUGGCGAUGAAGGGAGGGAGGUGAAACCAGUCCUUGGAAGAGGCCAUGAAUGUAGCAACUAUGAUUAUGAUUAUUAUGAAGAGCGCGAGCUCUAGAGAGAGAGAGAGAGAUUUGAGUUUCUGAGUUUGCGUUUGUUGUUGUUGAUUAUUUUUUUUUUUUUUCUGUGGAUUUUUGAGUUUGAUUAGGAUGAGAGAGAAAGAGAGAGAGAGGGAGGGAUUAUAGGCUGUUGGAGUCCUCGUGCGAUGUUGGUUUGUUUACGGUUACCAGAGUUGUAACUUACGAGGCCACCUUCGAUGCUGCAUAUGAGGUAAUGACUUUAUGAUCACAAGAGUGGGAAAGUUUUAAUUUGGAUUAUAUUAUAUACUGUUUGGGGUUGCAUUUUAAUUAAUCGGCCAACAUCAUGCCAAACUAGACUCUUUAUUCUAAGUUUUGCACCCUAAUUAAUUUAACAAUACUGUAGAUUUGGAUUAUACAAGUGGAAGGAACGAAUGAAGCAUGUUUUUUUUUUUUUAAAAAAAAAUCUUGCAUAAAGGAGGAAUUUUAUUUAUUUAUUUAUUUAUUUUUUAAAAAAAAUUAUUUUGCGUAGAGAGAUGGGUUGAGAUGAUUAUGAUUAUUCUCAUUCAGUUGAGAAAAUUUUGAAACGUAUAAUAAGCCCAAUAAAUAGAACUAUCGAUUUGUUCAGAUAUUAUAUUCAAAUUUUGAAAGUUCCGAACCUACCCAUCAUAGUUUGUCCGGUAAAAUCACCACUUUAAUUAGGUAGCCUUGCUUGUGGAAAUUAAUUAAAGGAUUACUAUACUCCAAAAUUGUGGCAAUUGAAGGAAUUUUAGGUGCUCCCCAUUGGCUUUAUUUUUUAGAAAAAGUAAAUUUGCAUUGCUAUAGUAAGUUUAUUUGCGAGCAAAUUUUAUACCAUAAUAUUCCUUUAUAGUGAAUCUUAUCUUGGUAAGCAAGCAAGAAUACCUAAUUAACUCUCCAGUGAUUGGUAAAAUGAAAACAAAAAAAAGGAAAAGGAAACAUACGGAUUUUUCAUCGACGAGUUAUCAUUUGAUCCCUCCCCAUUUUUUUUUUCUUUCCAACUCAAACGGAUUGUUCCUAAAUUCGAUUUCCUGCGUCAACAAUGCAAGAGAUUGAGGGAAUAGACGAGUACAAAAGUUCAAGCACUAACCUGUUUAAGCGGAAGGAAAGGACCAGAUCACAAUUCGUCAAAAGUUUGGGACUGCAUGAGCAUUUUACCCUAGUCUCUAUCGGCUAAAACAUUGCAGAGAUAAGAACCAAGAGAAUCAGCAAGAACCAGCUAUUAUGUUUAUCAGUUUAUGCCGGCUUGGAUCAUAUAAUAUCCUCAUUCUACAUAUUAAGAUUGUACCUGCUUUGGAUAGUGUGAAGCAAGAUCAUCAUUAUUCAUUUGUCAUUGUGAAAAGAUGAAACUUCCUAGAAGCAUAUGUAACCAAAGUGCCAAGAAGUAUCAGAAAAGGCCAAAAAGGAAAAAAAUAAUGAGAUCACUAAUUGAUACCCCAUUGUGGAUUACUUUUCUACAACAUAAAAAAUCCCAUAUUUUUAUAUGACACAUCUAAUUAUAACAAGCAAAUACAAUCAGAUCUUCCACUUUUACCAUUUCAUACACUCCUGUCAUUUUUCUAUUUCCAUGAACAAAUACAACAGCAGCCUCCACAUAAUGCAAGCCUUUAAACCACUAUAAUAUUCGGCCCAAAACUCACUAAGAUUAUGGAGAAUGUUGGGUUAUAGACAUAUGUAAUUACUGAUGGCCUCGAACAGUAUUUAUGGGGGAAAGAUACAUAAAAUGGUGCACAAAAUUUGUAGGGAAAUCUCUUCACCAGAAAAGAUAGAGAAGGGCAUAAAAAUGCUUUCUACAAGUGUUCUGUCAAUUCUUCAAUUAACAAAAUCAGCAACAACUCAAGGAAAGAACAUCUCCACUUGCAGUCAAACAUUAACUGCCAUUUAUGGGUUUCUAUUAAAAAGAAGGAUAAAAAAUUACUAUCAACAAGUUCAAUAUGUUGUUUAAUCUGUUCUUAUUCUCAUUCAAAAUUCAAGAUAAAAUGAAAUUUGAUUUGCACCAAAUGCAGCAGUUUGUUGUUUCCGCUUCGACCUAACACAAAACUAUAAACAUUCAAGUUUGGAGAACUCUUAACUAAAACCAUACCAUCAAUCUUCAUCACAAAUACUGACAUACACAUUUCGAGGUUUACUGUUGCAUUUCAACCGGUCAUUGCCAUAUAGAAAGGCACAGUAACGAAAGAUCUUGAAGCAUCAAUUCUGACAAGAUUUUACAAAGAAAUAGACCAUAUAUUAAAACUUCCAAAAUGUUAAUUUAAAUAAUUCAGAAAUAAUACCAGAUAUAUGAACGUGAAUAGAAUCAAGGUAAUCUAUCUAUGUGCAAUAUAUAGUCGUCUUCUCUUCCCUCCUCUCUCUCUCUCUCAUAUCUUAUAAGAUAUCUCCCCUCUCUCUCUCUCUUUAUCAUAUCUCAUAAGAUCUCUCUCUCUCCCUUCCCCUCUCUCUCUUUAUCAUAUCUUAUAAGAUCUCUCUCUCUCUCUCCUCUCCUCUCUCUCUCUCUUCUCUCUCUCUCUCUCUCUCUCUCUUAGAUUUUUCUAUCAUUCCAUAUCUCUCUCUAUUCUCCCUCCUCUCAUUCUCUCUCCCUUCCCCUCCCUUUCUAUCAUAUCUUAUAAGAUCUCUCUCUCCCCCCUUUCUCUCUCUCCUAGGCAAUUAUUACUCUAACUCCCACAACUCUCUCUCUCUCUCUCUCUCUCUCUCUCUCAGAUCUUGCAACAAAAUUUUAGAUUUUUCUAUGAUGCAAGGAAAACAUCUCAUUUCACGAUUUCAUGCUCAUAGUAAAUGCACGUGGACCAACUCACUAACUUAACUAUUUAUCUUAAGACAAAUCAGCAGAACUCAGUUGUCAAAUUGAGACAAAUAGCAGACAGAGUUCAUCUUAUAGUGUAAAGAUACUCGUCACAAACGCAUCUCCAAAGAAAAAAAAAAAAAUCAGUAAUGUGGAAUCACCAAGAGUUUCAAUAAAGAUAGACUACUGUAAAGCAGACAUGAAAGUACAUUUUGUUACACCAAAUGAGCAUUUAAGUUAUAGAAACUUAUCAUCAGCAAAUAUAAUCUUCUAUCAUGGCUGUUGAAGGUUUCUCCUAUAUAUACGCUCCCACCACCAAUAUGUCAAAUCGAAAAAGUAAAAAAAAGGGAAAGGAUAGACUGACCCAUCACUAUGCAACAAGAUAAAAUGAUAAAACAAAACCAAACAUACAGUCUAAUAUAUAUGACCCAACACUUGCGCAUAACAAAAGCAAAAAUAAGACAUGAAAUUAUUUAACUAAGCUUACUAAAAGAUGAACUUCAGUUCAGCCUUCGUCUCUUACAUGCAUGAAGAGCCCCUCCAUCAACAUCGAGAGAACCGGAAGUGCCGCUUCUUCCCCUCCUUCUGUGGGCCCUAGAAGACCCAGCACUGUUAGGUUCAGAUGGAUUAUCAGAAAUAGUAACCUCUCCUUGUAUUGUAGCCAUGGUGCUCGAAGCAGAGACCUGAUCCGCCCCCAAUGCUGCACCCACAUCAUGCGCAGCAGCAGGAGGCUCAGAAUUUGGCGGAUUAGCAGAUGAGGUGGACGCUCCAUAACGGUUACUAAUACUUGCGAAUUGCCCCACCACCCUACCAAGAUCAGCAGUUAUCGCAGCUAAUCUUUCUGUAUUAGCAAUACCAUAGAGUGAAAAGCGUUGCCACAGAUCAAUUCCAUCUCGGAAAAGUGAGCUCGAUGUACUCCCAACAGGGUUUAAUGCACUGUUACCAGGGGGCAGUCCAAUGUCACCAUUGACAGACCCACUGAUAGACCCACUGUUACGAUUCACCUCUUCCCUUAGCAAUGUCCUUGCUCUUAGCCUAGUUAUAGCUCGGCGAUGGGCGCCAUCAAGUAUUUCCUGCAGGGCAGGGUCCGCUUGCCCUUCGAGCCUACCACUCCCAUAACGCAUCUGAUGGUCUAAAAGCCGUCUCCAUGAAGAUGCAAUCCCUUCUCCCAAUCUCCUUGAAAUAGGCCUAAACUGUUGCCUCAAGCUCUCCACCCUAUUUCCACGUGGCCUUGGCGGUAUUUUCAGACCUGAUUCCCCUUCCCCUUUAAAUUUCUUCUCAGCACUAUUCUCUGAACUUCCUCUACCAUAAAUAGGAGUGAUUUUAGAUUCAGUAACUUCUCCUUUGCAAACUGGGCAUUCAUUAUGGUCAGAAUGAACGUGAAGCCAUUGAUACAAACAGGGCCAGCAAAAUAGAUGGCCGCACGAAGUAACAACAGGUUCAGUAGCCAUAUCCAAGCAGAUAUUACACUCAAAAUUAGCAGCACUUCUGUUCUUCUCUUCCGCUUCCUCUUCUGAAGCCUCCACUGCUAUGGAUUCAACAGAUACUUUGUCCUUCCUAGUACAUUCUACCGAUCCUUGCGGGCUCGAUACAUUCAUUAUUAACUGUUCAGUAGGAGUUGAAGGUGAGCCAAAGCUGGACCUUUCGCCAGCGAAUGAUACCGAAGACCUAAAUCGCCUAGACCGAGAUCGAUGGCUCGACUCAAUCAAUCUUCUGAAACGUAAUUCAGGUGAACGGUGGAGCUCGUUCCGAGAAGAGGACCCACUAUUCUCCCCCAAAAACUCCCCAGCGUGAAUAUGUGGAGCUGGGUAAAAGCUGAAAGCUACUUCAUCAGGGGUCGUUGGUGGGGGCGCAUAAUGUGGCGAGUACGUCGAUGUCGGAGGAACAUAAGGCGGUGAGUAAGGCAUGUGAGAGCUGCCGUCGAUGGCUAUGGGCUCGUCGGCAUUAGACUCGUCUAUCUCGUUAACAAUCGGUAGUUGGAUUGGAGCGUAUGAAGAAUUAUUGUAGGGUUCAUAGGAUGGAAAGUAUGGGGUGUACUCCGGACUAGGGGUGGGGUUCACAUUCAUGGCAGGUAGUGUAGGAGAGUAAGCUGAAUGGGAAGGGGAGUACGGUGGGUGGGGAUCCGACAGUUCUGACAUAACAGGCAUUUCAACAAGCGGUUGGCGGUCGUCGACAGCUGGCAUGGGUAAAGAGUUGAGAGAGAGGUCAGAGCCAAGAUCCGGUCGACGAGGGCGAGGAGAAUGAGGGAGACCCAGGUAGAGAUUCACAUCCAUUCUCCUGAUUCUGCUAUCAUUUCCCUCUUCUUCCAUUCCUGGAAAGAGAGAAUAGCCCACUUAUCCCCUCUGGCCCUCUUAGAAGCUUUAUUAAAGCUCACUCAUUUGCAAGGAAACAAAAGAAAAGAUUUUUUUUUUUAAAAAAAAACUAGUUUUAGUUUCCAUCUCACCAUGCGAGAAACCCCUCAAAUAGGGUUCAAAUAGGGGUCGGGGUUCGAAACCCUAGAUCAUUCCAAGGUCAAAAUUGACACUUUUCUCCCUUUUUUAUCCAUAAAAAUCCCUCUUUUACCGCAUGAAGAUGAAGAUUAGGGUUUCGUUACUCGGUGCGAAUCCAAGUUCCACGAAAAACGAAACCCUAGCGGGGAAGGAAACAAGGGUUAGGGGAUCAGCUCGAGUGCGAGCGAAAUCGGGAGCAGGCCUCGAGAAGAGGCGCGGAGUGGGAGGAAGAGGGCGAGAGAGGAGUGAGGGGAGGCGAUUGAGGGGAUCAUACCGGGGGUUUGCGGAAGAGGCGGCGGUGGCUUCGGAAUUUUGGGGUUUGUUUCUCUCAGGCUCAGCUCAGCUCCCACCGAGAAAGAGCCAGAAAGAGAGAGAGAGAGAGAGAGAGAGGUGUGGAUGGACCUAAGAAGCGAGCUCCGGAGGACUUAUAUAAAGCGCGAUGGCUGCCACAGUGCCACGGCUACACUAUUAUUAUUUUAAUAUAUAUAUAUAUAUAUAUAUAUAUAUAUAUAUAUAUAUUUUAAAAUAGUAUGCUGUUACUUUAUUUAUUUAAAAAAUAAAUUUAGCUAAAAAAGAAGCAUUCAUGGUCUCGCGGCACAAAGCGGAAGAGAGAAAAAAAAAAAGAAAAGAAGGAAGGGACACUAUUUUAUUUUUUAUUUUAUUUUUUUAUUUAAAAAAUCCUUUGGUCCCCCUCACAAGUCACAAUAUUUUUCUUUGAUUUAUUAGUUUGUAUACCUAACAUUUUUGAAGAGCAUGCAAAAUUUUUUACUCCAUAAUGCCAACGAAAUAAUCAUAUAUUAUACCAACAGUUUAAAAAUCUGCAACAAUACUUCUACAAUAACAUUGAGCUAAUAUUUGGAAUUGUGGAAUUAUGUGCUAGAUACAUAAAGUAGGGUACAAAAUUAUUUCAUUUGUUCUAGUAACAAAUAAUAUGUUACAUAGAUUUGCAGUGAGUUGGUUAAGAUACCAUCUAACGGUUUGAUCAAAAAAUAAAAUUGCAUACUUAUGCAUGCUUUCAUCUCAAUUUUUUUUUUUUAACCAUACAGACUCUUAAUAAAGCUUAAAAUUUUUUUAGAAAAAAAAAUUAUUAUUAUUAUUUUUAUUUUUAAUUUAGAGUUUCUGAAUCGAUAAUUAUCAGCAUUAUACAUAAAUUUAGAAUAGUCAAAUUUAAUAUGAAGCAAGUUUUAUAAUUUUAUAUUACUAUUUAUCUGUUGAUCAAGUAACCAAAAAAUACAAUUAUCAAGUUUAUUGCAGGGAGAUUGCGUUACGUGCGGUGAGAAAGUACGUUGAAAAAAUAGCAUAUUUGUUACCGUACGUAAUAUUGCGUUCCGCAUAUCGCGAUAAGUCGGUUACAAUAUAUUUUCUAUGGUCCAUCGGAGAACACAGAAGCAUACCUCUAUAUACUUUUUCCUCAACUCCAUUUUAUCUAAUAGCGUUAGAUAAAUCUCAAUACCAAACUAAGCCAUAAUCUCCUUGAGUACUAAUUAAUUAAAUAAUUACAAAAUUCACAAAAAUUCGGGCCUGGGCCCAGUUUCCGGCUCAAAAUUUUGAUUGAUUCAGGCAACAAUUGAUUCAUUGCUAGUCCUAAGCCCAGCUCAAAUUAACCGGAGUGGAUUAGAUCCGGCCCGGUAAACUAAUAGAAAAGUCCAGGCCCAAUAUGACUAUUUUGGGCUAUUAAAUUUGCGGGCCCGGUCUGGUUUCACGAACCGGUCCGAAACUUCGCUUAUUUAAUGGGCUAGGCUAACUGGGCCGAUUUUGGGGCACAACAGGACGUACUGCUAUAAAAGGGCCCUGGUUUAAACCCCAGAACCCUCGACGUCGUUGCCCCGCAAACCCUCGCCGCUUCCUCGAGCCGCCGAUGACCCAACGGCGGUCGCCGCCGCCGAAGCGCCGCCGCGUGUCGCGGCCGCGGCCCCUCCUCGGCUUCUCCCCCUUCGCUCGCUGCGUCCUCCUCUCCCGCGUCGCCUCCGCCUCCGCCUCCGCCUCGAAGCCCCCUCCGCGGACGCCGCCGUCCUCCUCUUCGUCCACCCCCCAUCGGCGAGGUAAACCCUAAUCUCCUUCUCGAUCUCGCUUCUUCUUCCUCGAUCCCGUCACUCACCUCUCCGAUCUCCGUUCUAGAGCCAAAAGAAGAAGGAAUCGGCAACCCUAAACCCCUAAAACCCACCAAACGAAUCGAAUCCUCCAGCGACGACGAAGACGACGAAGAAGAGGAGGAGCAGGAAGUGCGAAUCGUGCUUUGUUUUAUGGUAUUUAUACGCUUCUUGAUUCCGAUUUGAUGUUGAGUUUCUGAUUCUUAUUGGAUUCAGCUUGAGACGGUGCAAGCCGAUUUCGGAUUCUUUGAUCCCAAGCCGGGGGAUUUCCAUGGGGCGAAGCUCCUCCUCCAAAGCUACCUCGACAAUGAGCCGUGGGACCUUAGCGGGUUCGUGGACCUCGUCCUGAAUCAGACCACGGUGGGGACCGUUGUGAGAUUGGACGGCUAUGAUGAUGACAAUGAAGGGGACGGGGAUAACGGUAGCAGCGGCGGUGACGAUGACGAGGAUUUGUAUGGCGUUGUUACUGCACUCAAUUUAAAAAGAUAUGCUGUAAGAAAAUUGAAAAUUUGAUCAUUUCGGUGUAAUUUUGAUUCUAGUGUGUCAACAGUUUCUCAUGAUCUUUCUUUAAAACAACUUAUUUAUAGGAGCAUAAAUGCAUUAAGGAGCUCAAAAAGUUCCUUCUCGGAGUAUGUAGGGAUGAGAAUACGAAGAAGAAGCUAAAAUUGCUAUUGGAAGAGCAAGCGAGUCAAGUGGGCUUGUUGGUCUCGCAGCGGUUUGUAAACUGCCCUUACCAACUUGUGCCCCCAUUGUAUGAUGCACUUUUUGAUGAGGUCUCAUGGGCAACAGAAGAUGAGGUAUUAGGUUUUCCCCCUUUUCAUAUAAAUUUCAUGCUGAAAUUGGUUGUAACUGGAUUCGUCUAUACCUAUCAAAGCCCACACAAGAACUUCGAGACUCCUUCCGGUUCAAAAGCUAUUUGUUGAUUAGCAGGAUAUAUGAGGUACUUUUCCUUUCCAAAUUGUCUAAUUUAAUUUGUUGCUGGAACUCAAUAUUAUCAAUUCACUUUGCAAUUGUAUGCCUUAAAUUCCACCCUAGUAUGUAGACAAGAGGCUAGUGACUAGUUCAUCGAAUAUGGUUUAUUUACUAGUCAUUGCGAUAUAUGAUCUCUCUGUUUAACACCGAUGUUAGUAUCUGCUUAUGCGAAUGCUUGUUGUGUCGUGAUCAGCUUAUUGUUGUUCUUUUCUGUAGAGAGAUCCGAACAAACCAAAGGGAAAGCGUAGCGUCAAUCAAGAUGAACCUGUUAUUUAUAUAAAGGCAGAAGAUGAAAUAUUUCAUGAGGUAUUGAAUAUAUACUAUCUUGGAUAUAUACUAUCUUGUAUAUAUAUACUGGAUAUAUACUAUCUUGAAUAUAUGCUAUCUGCUAUUUGAUUAUUUUUAAGCUACUUAUAUUACCCUUCUCAUUUCAGCUCAGCACUUGGUCUUUUACUUUUCCUGUGCAUGCUGAGCAGUUGGUUCCAGACGAUGUAAGUUGCAUGUAGUUGUUUAAAGUUAUGCUAUACUUGCUCUUUGUCUUUAUUAUCCAGCCUAUUUUUAUGUUCUUUUUUCUUUAUUAACCGGAUUGAUAAUAUUGAACAUUUAAAAUUUUAAUUUUUUGGUCCAUUAUGGAUGGUUUUCACACUUGUCUAAGCAUACUGUGUGUAAGUUGAUCUUCAUUCUGGAAUGUGAAUGGAAAAAAAUGUGAGGUGGAAACACAGAAGGCCUUUGCGCUUCUAAGAGCACCUUAGCUUAGCCCUUGAUAGCAUUGGUACUUCUAUCACUUUUUCACCCGUUCGAUGCUUCGCCGUGAUUCACGCAGGUGUGCUUCAUGAUGCAUGCUGUGUUGUGCCUAUCAUGAUUCCCAUCUGUCACUCAUGUAAUUUGUGAUGCAUGUCCAACAGGUGAAAAGGUGAUAGCUUGGUCAUUGUGUUUUAGCUUGUAGGGAAGAGACAUCCUUCUUUAAAGUAAGAAGUGAGCUAACAUUGAAAAAGGCAAACAAGAAGUUUGUAGUUGCUUAAACAAGCUUGUAGUUGCCUAAAUGAUAAAUUGUGGAAUUUAUGCUGAAAAAGGAUCAUAUUCACGUCCUGUAGAAUGUAGUUUUGGGCUAUAGAACUAUUGUCCUAUGCUUUUAAUAUUUAUUUCUAUGCUAGAUGCACUUUAUGCCAGAUUGAGCUAAUCUGCUUACCAAUCUUUAUAAAGGAACUUUUUGGCAAGAUAUGCAAGUUAUUAUUUGUCAUCAAAAUGCUAGAUUUAUAUUCUAAGGUUGACUUGUUAUUUGUCAUUCGUAUUGAAACUUCUUUACAUAUAUUAAGAGAAGUUGUUACUCACAGAAUUUCCAUUCUGAAUAAAAAGUGCUGUGGAGAUUGUAGCAGUCUGUUUUUAUUAUGGUAUUCGAAUAGAUUGCUGCGCCUGCUACUUAACUUUAUUGAUCUGCAUUGAGGAUGCUUUAUUCUUGCUGCCAUUUUUUUAUCUUGCACUUGUGAUUAAUUUUUUAUUCUCAACAAGUUCAAGAUAGCACUGCAGUUAAAUAUGCUGUAUUUGAUAUAUUUCCAGUUCAUUUAUUUGUAUGUUUGAAUAGUGAUCUUAUCUUUGAUUUCAAUUUGCAUCAAUACCGGUACUCAUAUUUCUGUUUUCUGCAGUUGAAGAACUAUAGGCAGAUGGGUCUAGUUCUGGUUGUUAAAGCUGACGAUGUUCCCAAGUUUCGAGAUAAGUUAAAAUCGUUAGUAGCUGCUGAAUCAUGAUGCCUUCGGCAUGAUAAUUUUGGUGUGAAAUAGUUGUUCUAUAUUUCUGAGGGCUAGCUGUUGCCACUUUAUUUGUAGUUGAAAUAUCAAAUCUCAUUUCAUUGUUGCAUUUCGUGCAGCAAACAUAAAUUUCAAGGUGAAGUUUCCUUUUCAAUUGGUUGGUAAGGACAGAGGAGCUAAAAUUUGUGUAAUAUCUCUGGAAAAGGGCUUGAUGGUUAGUACCCGAGACCCAAAUUCGAAUCCUAAUUGAUUCACAUUUCUAGCUAAGUUUAUUUCUAAAUGAAAUAAACGAAGCGGGUAGCGUGCUACCUAUCUUUCAAAAAAAAAAAAAAUCCCUAGAAAAGUUAAGUAUUUUGUAGAUUGUCCAAAGAUAGGCGGUGGGACACAAAAUACUUUUGGCAUUUCAUUCCCUUCCUUUUUGUUUAUGUAGUUGCAGGAUGUGCAAAUCUAUUUUACUUGUAGUUUUAGAGGCUAAACAGAAAAAUGUGCAUGAGCAUUGUAGAUUGAUCGUGCCCUUCGUUAUAAUCACAACAUUUAGGGGAGUUACCGGUCAUUACAUUGUCUAUUAGGGCUAUUCUGCAAAUAAUUUGCUAUUAUUUUGUAUCAACAAAAUGCUAAUGGCACAUCUUUUUCUAAUUUCCGGUAUCUAUUCUUUCGAAUGAGUGAUCUUUUUGCAAGUUCAGAUCCAUUUAGGGGAGUAUGAUUUAUCAUUGCUAUUGUACUCUAUAUUGAGUAGUGAGUACAUUCCUUGUUAGAGUACGCGGCCCUUUUUCCAUUGUGAUAUCUUGUUGAAUUCUCGUAUUAGGCGUAGUUUAGAGUAAGAUAUUCAGUGGUAUUUUAUUUCGUAUGAGAAUUUUCUAUUAUCACUGAAAGCCAGGAGUGUUAAUGUGUAGAAUGGAAUAUAGUAUAUUCGACCUUCAAAUCAUUUUUUGAAAUAAGAUAAAUUAUCUUAUAAAUGAAAUAUAUUAUACUACCAAAUUAUGGAUGCCAAGAAUUUUUAAGAAAUAAAAACUAGACCUUUGCCUUAUAUUUAUAUAAGAAAAUUUUUAUACGAAAUAAAUUAUUAUAAGAUAACUUAUUUUGCCAUUCAAAUAAGUUCUUGUUGUCUAGCUUGUUUUUGUUCGGAUCACGGGCUCGUACUGUAGUUAUGAAUUUAAAUGAACUAUAAGCUUGAUGGUCGCUCAAUCAAGAACCUUCUACGCUUCUAUAUCGAAUGAGUAUGAGAUUUUUUAUAUGAAGGGGAAGUCGUUUAGUUUAAUUUGCAGGCUUACCUAGGCUUUCAAGAUGUUGAGAGAGAGAGAGAGAGAGAGAGGGAGUGAAUGCGUGUAUGUAUUAGAGAGAGAGAGAGAGAGGGAGUGAAUGCGUGUAUGUAUUAGAGAGAGAGAGAGAGAGACAGUGAAUGCGUGUAUGUAUUUGUCAUUAUAUUUUCGAGCUAUCAAGCAGCACAAGAAGAGUUGGUUUUUCUCUCUUUCUACUUGUGUCUAUCUUCCUUUUAUUCUGCAAUCAUCAGAUAGAAAUUUUAUUCCCCUUUCGGUAGGACUUUUGUCUGUUCAAAGUUCAAACUGUGAGAUACAUUUUUAGGGUUCUCGCGUCAAGUCAUCCAUCUAUUCCUGAUGUCAAAGUUUUCCGAUUUGAGUAGUUAAGUUGGAUUUGAGUUUUAAGUACUUAGUUAGGCAGCUGGGAGCUUCAGUUGGAAUUUAUGUAAUCAGUUCGACCUAACAGCGAGUCAAAGCAGCAGCCAGGGACAACUUAUGGAAACGUUUCUAAUUACCUCUAGUCAACAAGCUAUAUCCUUGAUGGCAGUUGGGGUAUAGUCAUUUAAACUGUGUGAAUCCUAAAGUUGCUACGUUCACCAUUUCAUUGAGUAAUUAGAUUGGUUGUUCCCGUAAAUAGAUUGCAGUGUAGCUGAAUUACUGGCGCUCCCAUUAAUAAGCUAUCCUGCUGGCCCAUUCCAAAAGAAUGAAUGAGGCAGUCAGGCUUCUGGAGGAAGCUUAUUAAUUUGAUAAAAAAGCCUCUUUUUUUAUGUUUUCGUUUCAUUUUUUUGAGAGAGGUAGCAGACCAUCUUCUUUUUCUUUUUUUGAGAAAUAAAUGGCUAUUUAUUAGUGCAAGCGAAUAAAUAAGUGGAUAAAUACAAGCAAGACGUUUAGUGGGUAUCGAUGUUCUAAAGAAUCUACUUUUUAAAUAUGAAUCGAGAGUUGGAUGGCAUCCGCAUAAGAAAUUAUAUAGCUCUUUUUAGCUUCCCGGUGGACUCUGAUCAGCUUGAUAAAGUACACAUCUAACUUGCUAGAAAUUUACAGGCCCAUACGGUACUUUUCAUUUUUUAUUGACAAAAAGAUCAGACUGAAUGGGCCGAAAAGGAGAGGAAGCCAAGUGGUGAGUGGAGUGGAGCUGAUAAUAAACUGUUAUGAAACUUUUAAACUGACUAAUUAGCUUUUUAAUCUCUUGUCCAUGCAACCAGUGUGGUGAUUGUGGUGCCAUCAGAAGCAUUAGUGGUGACCUCUCCAUGAUUUCAGGAAUUCACUCUGUAACACUUCACCAAGUAUGAUGGGGCUGCACACGACAGAUCGAUAAAGCCCGAUAAAAAUACUUCACAUUGGGUGCAAAUUAUUCAGGUUCCCGAUAAGAAUCUUCACAUCUGUUCAAAUGAUCCAGUUCCCACGUUUCGGCACUACACGUCUUUACUAUAAUCUUACAUCAAAAGGUCCACGAAGAGAUACAUUAUUUAUCUAUUUUAUAAACCCUCAUGCGCACCUAAUCAACUGGCUGGCCACGAUAGCUCCAAGGACAAGGCAUACACAAACAAGAAGGUAAAGUGGCAGCCUACCAAUAUCCCAAGUAAUUUCAGGAGACAUCGACCACCUUGCUUGCACACGAUCAAUUAAAUUAGUCAUGAUAGUUUAAUAGCGUCUAAACUAUGCACACGGCACUCAUAAAAGAUAAAGAUAUUGCGCGCGCAAGAGAGAGAAAGGACACCAAUCCAAGCCGUAAUAGCAGUAGUAUAUAACCACACCAAGUAUCCAGUACACGGAGAUCGCCACAGUAGUAGUAGUACAUCACCAACAUACACGUACACGCACGGAACGAUACUGUGCAUCCCAUAUAUUAUGCGUGCACUCUACUAGUGCAACUAGUGCUGCUUAUUCUUUACUAUUGCCACUCCUAAUUAAGUAAGAACUGGUGCAGGCAGUGGGGCCUGCACGAAUCCUAGUGCCCCACGGGUUUAGUUGAGGUCCGGGUGGUGGGGAGGCUUGUCGACGUCCUCAAGGGGGCGGAACCACACCUUCUGGUCCAGCACCGUCGACCCGCCACCAUUCCCCGCCGCCACAGCAGCUGUGUUGCCCAGCCCGUCCUUUGGUCCGGCGGUGGCGGUGGCGGUGGCGGCGGCGGCGGGCCCAAAAACGCCAGUCGUAGGGUGCGGGCCCCAGUACUUGUCCGACACAGCAGCUUCGAUCACAUGGUCCGGCAACACCACCGGGUGCACCAGAUCCUCCGCGUUCUUGUCGUACGAUGAAGCGUGCACUCCUCUCCUGCAGAUAAUACUAAGAUUUUAAACAAAUUAAAGUCUAAAUAAAUAACUACAAUAUUUGGACUAAGAGUUGCAAUCUUUCAGCCCUCUAAAAGGUUUGUACCCAUACUAGCAUUUCUCAUCUUAAAAGUAUUUCUCAUCUUAAAAGUAAUUUGGACGACGGACAAAAGAGCAAUGGUAGUUCUAUAAUAACUUUUUAAUUUAAUUAUAAUUCUACAACUCUUAAUUCCUAAAAAUCAUAAUUUUUUUUCACUAGUUUUUAUCAACCUUUCUUUACUACUAACAUAAUAAUAUUAAAAAAAGGUAUAUUACCAAUCCUUUACUUAAAAGGUUGUAUGCUGCAAGGCAACAACCUUUUAUUAGAUUAUAGACUUUGGCAUUUCUUCGGGUAAGAGAGAGGAAGCUGUUUCGUGUUAUAGGGACAGUGUCAUAGGGACAGAAGGGGCAUUUUGGAUAUAUAUAUAUAUAUAUAUAUAUAUAGAGAGAGAGAGAGAGAGAGAGAGAGUCUACUAUAUUCUUAUGAGUACAUAGUCCUACUUAUAAGCUGUUUUUGAUAAUGAAGCUUCUAAAUCGACAAUCCACUCUGUUAAAUAUGAUCUAUAGUAUUUGAAAUUUCUAAAAACUAAAUUUCGUAAUUUUUUAAAAUCAUAAUAAAAUCCAUUAAGUGAGAAUAAAAUAAACGGUUAAAAUCGAAUGAUAUCCUAAAGAUGAAUGAUCGAAUCCUUCAAUUUAAGAUUGGAAUUAUUGAUCUUUAUCUAGACAGUGAAUAAAAUUUUUUAUCAAAAAUUCAACAGAUUUCGAUUUUUUUACACAGUUAAACUAGUAAAUAUCUCAUACCAGCCGUUAAAAAUUAUCAAUUUUGAAAUCUUUUGAUCGCAAGAUAAAUAAUAUCAANGGGCCGUUGCAUCUGCGUGUAUCCGUAGGACCGCAAUACCCAUCUCACGGCUCACGUUAGUCAUCGGUGCGGCUCUAAUAAACGGGGGGAAAGAAUCGUACGGCAGGCAUGGUCCACCUCAAAAACGCGUGCGGAGUAAUCGAGGGGCACACAAAUCCACCGUCCAAUGAGCCUCCAAAUGAAAUCAGGAUCGUCAAUUGAUGGACGGUACGAUCAAAUUACCCGAGUGGUUAAAGCGAUGGUUGUGUUCCUAGUGAAGUCCGACAGUGUUUUUUUGUCGUUUUGUGACUUCGCUCUCUUAGCAUGUACGCUUUUACGCACAGCGAGUGCAGAAGAAAACAAGAGAAAAGACGGGAAAGAGUACAGAGAAAGGGAAAACCGGUACGGAGACGAAACAAGGGCGAUAAUUUCUCUGGGAAUUAGUAGAGAUGGCAAAAUUAGUGCGGAUAAAGAAACAAAGGACUUUGUGUGGAAAAUAUCAUCGCCACACACUGAAAAAUAAAAAAAAAUAAAGGAAAAGACAGGGAGGGUGGGGGGAGGGGGGGAAGGGGGAGUAAAAGAACUCUACUGGAGAUGUCCUUACAGAGUUGCAUUGCAUCUCUGGUAAAACAGAAUAGAUCCCCUCGAAAUUUCAACUCUAAGAUCCACAAAAGCAAGAGAACCUCAGAAAAAGGAAAACUAAUUGAAAUAUAUAACUAAUUGAUAUAUAUCACUGCUUAUAGUUGAUACUUAGACUGUGUGCUUAAUUAGCAUAUAUGCACCGAUCGCUAAAACAAACAUAACAGCUAACACAUCAAGAAGCAAAAAUCACCAAAUAAUUUCACAACAUCAGAUGCUUAAAAAAAAAAUAAAAAAAACCUACAACCAGUUAUACCAGUGCUUAAUUAGCAUAUAUUGAUCGAUGCGACUAAAAGCAACUAAUAUAUUAGCAACGAUCAGUAGAGCAAAUUUAAGAAUUAACACACGGAGAGCAGCUAAAAAAAUCGGUUGAUCUCACGAGAUCAUAACAAAUGCUGAGCAAUUAGGAGAUGUACCUUGAAUCCGACGCAGCGAAAACCGCAAUCGGAGAAGGAUUUCGAGAGGCCCAGAUCUGGUUCACGAAUCGCUUCCCGAAGCUUCCCGCGAUCGCUCGCCCCUUCGAAUUAGCGGCCAUGCAAAANAUAAACGGUUAAAAUCGAAUGAUAUCCUAAAGAUGAAUGAUCGAAUCCUUCAAUUUAAGAUUGGAAUUAUUGAUCUUUAUCUAGACAGUGAAUAAAAUUUUUUAUCAAAAAUUCAACAGAUUUCGAUUUUUUUACACAGUUAAACUAGUAAAUAUCUCAUACCAGCCGUUAAAAAUUAUCAAUUUUGAAAUCUUUUGAUCGCAAGAUAAAUAAUAUCAAAAAAUUAUAAAAUUUGAUUUCUAAAAAUUUUAAAUGCUCUAAAUAACGUUUAACGGUAUGGAUCGUCGAUUCGAAAGUUCUACCAUAAAAAACGACUUAUAAAUACAAAAACAAUCGUACUCAUAAGAAUAUAGUAGCCGAACUAUAUAUAUAUAUAUAUAUAUAUAUAUAUAUAUAGGUUUUGUGUGCUAUUAGGAGCAGCCGUUUUCGAUGAUGAAGCUUCCGAAUCGACGAUCGGCUCCGUUAGACUUGAUCUACCAUAUUUGAACUAUCUAAAAAAUAAAUUUUACGAUUUAUCGAUAUCAUUACCUACCGAUCGUAAAGGUUCAAAAUCAGAUAAAAUUUUAAUAGAAAAUUCUUUAUACUAUUUACAGCAAAUUUAAUAUUUCUGAUCGAAAAUUUUAAUACUAUAGCACCACUUUUUGUGAGAUUUUUAUUUUCAGCCGUUGUUUUUUAUUCCUUUCAAUCGUUAGGUAAAUAUUAUCGAAAAAUAACAAAAUUUAUUUUUUAGAUAUUUCAAAUACGCAAGAUCAAGUCUAACGGAAUCAAUCGUCGAUUCAGAAGCUUUAUCAUCGAAAACAGCUUAGGAACACUAAAGACCUCUGUACUCCUAAUAGCACUCAGAAGACCUUCUCUCUCUCUAUAUAUACAUAUAUAUAUAUAUAUAUAUAUAUAUAUAUAUAUAUAUUCGUCCGAUACCAUCGGGGCAGGCGCCAAGAACGUGACAGGAACUGGAAAUCGAGAUGGAUAAGAGCAAAUCUCACUCGUACGCGUGGCCUCCGAUGGAAAGGUUGGUGACUGACUACCAAACGAUCAGGGCCGUUGCAUCUGCGUGUAUCCGUAGGACCGCAAUACCCAUCUCACGGCUCACGUUAGUCAUCGGUGCGGCUCUAAUAAACGGGGGGAAAGAAUCGUACGGCAGGCAUGGUCCACCUCAAAAACGCGUGCGGAGUAAUCGAGGGGCACACAAAUCCACCGUCCAAUGAGCCUCCAAAUGAAAUCAGGAUCGUCAAUUGAUGGACGGUACGAUCAAAUUACCCGAGUGGUUAAAGCGAUGGUUGUGUUCCUAGUGAAGUCCGACAGUGUUUUUUUGUCGUUUUGUGACUUCGCUCUCUUAGCAUGUACGCUUUUACGCACAGCGAGUGCAGAAGAAAACAAGAGAAAAGACGGGAAAGAGUACAGAGAAAGGGAAAACCGGUACGGAGACGAAACAAGGGCGAUAAUUUCUCUGGGAAUUAGUAGAGAUGGCAAAAUUAGUGCGGAUAAAUAAAUAAAUAAAUAAAGAACUUUGUGUGGAAAAUAUCAUCGCCAGGCACUGAAAAAUAGGAAAAAUUAAGGGAAAAAAAAAAAAGAGGGGGAGAAGUCAAAAAAACUCUACCGAAGAUGUCCUUACAGAGUUGCAUUACAUCUCUGGUAAAACAGAAUAGAUCCUAUCGAAAUUUCAACUCUAAGAUCCACAAAAGCAAGAGAACCUCAGAAAAAGGAAAACUAAUUGAAAUAUAUAACUAAUUGAUAUAUAUCACUGCUUAUAGUUGAUACUUAGACUGUGGAAGCAAUCAUGGUAAUAGCACCGAUCGCUAAAACAAACGUAACAACUAACACAUCAAGAAGCAAAAAUCACCAACUAAUUUCACAACAUCAGAUGCUUAAAAAAAAAAAAAAAAAUCUCACAACUAGUUAUACCAGUGCUUAAUUAGCAUAUAUUGAUCGAUGCGACUAAAAGCAACUAAUAUAUUAGCAACGAUCAGUAGAGCAAAUCUAAGAAUUAACACACGGAGAGCAGCUAAAAAAAUCGGUUGAUCUCACGAGAUCAUAACAAAUGCUGAGCAAUUAGGAGAUGUACCUUGAAUCCGACGCAGCGAAAACCGCAAUCGGAGAAGGAUUUCGAGAGGCCCAGAUCUGGUUCACGAAUCGCUUCCCGAAGCUUCCCGCGAUCGCUCGCCCCUUCGAAUUAGCGGCCAUGCAAAUCAGCAAAUGAGAGGAGUGAAAAUAGGAGAGAGAGAGAGAGAGCGAAAAGAAAGGUAAAAACGAAGGGAAAGGGAUAGAGAAUGGACGGGCCCUUUUCCAUUGGUAGCACCAGCUAUUUAUAGCCUCGCCCGCACUCACUCCCACAGCCCACCAACCCGCCCCGUUUACUACGCCGUUAACGUUUUCAUUCCCUUCUAUUGACGGCGCUCCUAACGGCGUUAGAGCGGAGGCAAGCCACGUGAGUGGAGCGAAUAUUUUGGAGCAUAUUCUACAUACAGUCCGAAGCGUCCCUCCAGAUGCUGUUGGUCUCCUGCUAGUGCAUGAAAUUACCAAAACGCCCCGCGACGUUUGGUCUGGUCACUGACACGGUGAUAGUAGCCAAACUAACCGACAAAAAUAAUCUGUUAUACUUCUGGUAAAAAAAAAAAAAAAAAGUUAAAAUAUAGUGAAUUGCAGGAAUAUUCUUACAAAGUUCAAUUUUCAUAAAUUAUUUCUAUAAAAAUCUAAAUAUAUUUAGAUAUGUUCCUUUGAUUAGCAUCCGUUAGAAAACUGUUUAUUUUUUAACAGUAGAUUUGUGAAAUAACAUUUUUACCCUCACAAAUAUGUUUGUUCAAAAGCUCUAGCUGGUAUACUUUUGCAGAAAUGCCCUCACAAAUAUCCUUUUUUUUCUUUCUCUUCUUUUUUGGGCUACUGGAGCGGACGGCUCCGGCGACGUCACGGAGCUUGUCGGAGUUGUGGCCGACGAGGACGAGGUUGAGGCCCGCAGCGGCGAUGCGGAAGGCGAUGGUGCGGCUGAUUUGGAAGCGCUCGUGAUGACGGCCCCGCGAGCACGACGAUCACAUCAUCAACGACGACAAUAACGAAGAAGAAGAAAGAAGAGAAAAGGAGGAGAAAAAAGAGGAUACGAAGAAGAAGAAUAAGAAGAAGGAGGCAGCGGAAGUUGUUGUCCGGCAGCCGCCACACUUACCUCAGCCGAAGGCGCCGCUGGGGAUGGCGAGGUCAGCGCCGAUCUCUCACGAGGAGCACCACCCGAUCUUUCUUCUCCACCACGAUCGUUUGCCGCAUCUCCUUCCUCGCGAGCGACGGCGACGACGGCCACUCCGACAAGCAGAAGAGGGAGAGGAAGAUGAAGAGAAAGAGGAAGAAGAAGAAGAAAAAAAUUAUCAAUUCACCCUAUUAAUUAAUCAUGGUUAAAUAUUUUAACUGUGGUUAACUAAAUUUCUGUAACAGAUCCUAAUGGUAAGCACAUAUCUGAAUACAUUAAGAUUUUUGCUGGAAUAACUUAUGAAAGUUGAACUUUGCAGGGAUAUUUGUAAUUCAUCAUAUUUGUAGGGACCUAUAUAAAAUUAACCAAAAAAAAAAUGUCAUAGCUGUAAUCCCAGCUUCAGAGAUUGGAAGCAAUAAAAUAAAUUGGUAUUAUUUUAUGAUUAUUAUUACUAUUAUUAAAAACGAUUUCAAAGUCAGUAUAAGUUAAUGCCCGUCUAGUGUGGAGGGAAACUUGAUCUCAGGCUCUUAAUAGGGGACGUUUGGAUCUAAUGGAACUCAAAUGCUAUGUUAUUUAAAUUUUUUUAAAGUAUAAUUAUUUUCUAUUAUUUAUUUUAAUAUAACUCGUAUAGUGUUAAAUUUAAUUACCUUUUUCGUUUGUUUCGAUGUAAUUUGGUACUGAUAAAAUUAAUUUUUUGAGUUCUAUUGUUCAUUUUGAUACUUCUAUAAAAUUUAAUUUAUUAAAUAAUUAAAUUUUCGUUAUUGUUUGGAAGUAAACUUAACUUAUUGUAAAAAAAAAAAUAUCUCUAAUUCAUUUUAAAGGAAGUAGAGUUUAGAUUCUAAUAUUUAAUAAAUUUUUUAGUUAAAGUUGAGAGUAGUGAAACUUGAGUUCAGUACUUUAGAGAAAACAGUCAAAAGUAAGUAAAAUGAAGGUCUAACGUAAUUUAAAUUACAAUAUUUUUUAACUUGCACCAAAAGAAAUAUUAAAAUAAUGAAACUUAAGUUUCACCCCUCCAAUAAUCAAAUAGCCCUUUAAAUGAAAGUAAAAGAUACCUAUCAAACCGACUGUUCAUAACACAAAUAGUAAAGAGUUUAGUGGUUGGUAUUCGAGAUCCCAAAUUCGAAUACUAGUUAAUUAAUAUUUUCAGCUAAGUUUAUUAUUUAAAGAAAAUAAGCGCAACGGAUAGCAUGCUAUAUUUUUUUUAAAAAAAAACGACAAACUUUAUAUCAUUGUGGUUGAUUAGUUUAUCCUGCCAUUGGCAUCUAGCACGAAAAAAAGUUGUUCAUUUAUUGGUUUAUUAUGCAUUUGUUCUCCAUCGUAUUAUUUGCCCGUUAUAGACUAGCUACUUGAGUGCGGCAUUAGAAAAUUUGAAAUUUUUAAGUUGGUUUUCUUUGUCCUAGAAGUGGAAGAAUUUUAUUUCGAGUGCUUUAACUUUAGAAAACUUUUUUUUUUUUUCUUGUUGUAAUGCAAUCUCCUAUCUUUUGUAUUAUUAAAAAUUUCUUUUGGGAUGACUAUUGCCAUAUAUAGAGGAAUAUUGACUAAACUAAUAUUCGAUAUUGCGUGAAGAAAGGCCAGUGAAUAGUGGUACGUUUUUGUCGAGCUUGCAACAUGACAAUUACUUUAUCUUUCUAAGUUAACCUUAAACUUAUACAUCUUCUUUAGGAUAUGUGUUGCAUCGAUGCUCAAAUUUGCGUAAUCCAUAUGGAAUUGGAUAUGAUAUUCUACUAUAAAUAUUAUUUUCUCAUCAAUUACCACUAAAAUCAAGACUUGCAUCUUUGAAGAGAACUGUUAGAGAAAGUCCCAAUAAUUUAUUCUUUAUAAGCAUUCUUCUAUUUGCACUAGAUUUUUGAAAAUUUAUAUUUUUUUAAUUUGCAUGUUCUGAAUUUUCUCACUGCUAUAAAAUAACGGAGAAAAAAUAAAAAAAUUAUGUUAUAAUUAGUUCUAAAAUUUUCCCCCCCUUUCCUUAAAACUCAACUAUUAGGUCAUUUCCUAAAUUAUGUCAGCAAUUCCCAGAAAAGUCAAGAGUCGGUGGCAAGAGAAUUUGUUCGGAUAAGAAUUAAAUAAUUGCUCACGAAAAUGUAAUUGUCGUCUCCAUUAAAUUAAGUUGUUCGCCUAUGACUACUCUUCUAUUAUCUUCUCAGUACGUACUCCCUAGCUUUGUACUAAGAGGAGUACUUCUAUAUAGCUUUCUAAUGUUAUUUUAGCUAAAAAGAUUAAAAAAACAAAAUAGCAGUGCAUUAUUUAAAUUAUUGUCGAUUAGUUAGAUUUCAUGGUAUAGCGUGGUUCAUCUUAUACACCAUUAUAUAAUUUUUUUCUUUUGAAUUUGGCAUUCAGGUUGGAGGAAAGAUUGUGUCUUUUCAUUAAAAUUUAUAAACAGUUUUCUAGUUUUAUUUUUUAUCUAUUAUUUUUUGUUCAAAGGAAGCAUUAAAGUAAGACUACAAAGACAACUCGGAAAGCGCCGCGAAGCUUCCUCGGCGUCAUUUCAAUUCCCAGAUGUUAACUUUGAAUGAAGUUCCUGUCACUGUCGAACACUUACAAUUCAAUGGGAGAUAUUUUUGGCCCACUCUAUAGCUUUGAUCAUUAAAAGUUGAUAUAAUCAACUGUAAUUAACUUGAGCAUCCUCCACAUGUCAUAGUUUGAUAGGCAUUUAAUACCAUAUAUUGUCUAAGAGUUGAUUAAUAUGGAUUAGCCACCGCUAAAACGACAUUUAACAGUAAAUCAGCAACGUCGGUGGUUAUUAAUUAAUAGCAAUGAUAAAGUUCGUGGUUUAAAAAACGAAAAUUUUCAUUAGAUGAAAUAUUUAUAGAGGCUUCAAAUGGAAGUACCUACUUGGUGUAAUAGGAAAUAUAAAAAUACAAAUUAAUUAAAAAUAAAAGGAAAAAAUUUUAAAGAUUUCACACAGAAUUUCGAAUCUACUAGGGUGAAAAACAAAAUCAGUUUAGAUGCUACCUGUCUUUAUCCCACUUUUGGAAAGGCCCACUAAGGAAGGCAAGCGGCUCCUUUGUUCUUAAAAAAAAGGGGUAAUUGAUACUCCUGAAAAUAUUUCGAUUUUUUAAUUUAUCUUUUUUAAAAAAUUAAUAUUAAAAAUAUUAUUUUUAUAUUCAAGUUAUUUUAAAUAUAUCUCUAGGGUUAAAUUUUGUUAGUGAACUGUUAUCAAUAACCAUUAUUUCUGUGAAAUUGUUAUUUUAUCCUUUCAAAUAUACUUUCUUUUUGAGAGAUAGGUAGCACGCUACCAGCUUCGUUUAUUUCAUUAAGAAAUAAACUUAGCUGAAAAUGUGAAUCAACUAGGAUUCGAAUUUGGGUGUCGGAUACCAACCACCAAGCACUUUGCCACUUGCUCUAGGGACGGUCGGUCUUUCAAAUAUACUUUCUAUCGUCACCAACUUUUCUUAUUUGCCAUUCAGUUAGGAAAAAAAAAGUAUUUUAAUUUUUAAUCUUUUCAAAUAUACUUUUCUACUAUCACCAACUUGUCUUAUUUGCCCUUAAGUUAAAGACAAAAGAGAUAUAUAUAUAUUUUUUAACUCUGUUAGAUAUUUAACUCACGUUUAAUCUGAAAUAACUUAACGGGUAGUAACUGCAGGGGCAUUUUGAAUAACAGAGAAAUAUAUGAGGGAUAUAUUAAAAACCAAAAAAAGGAGUAAAUUAGAUAUUUUUGAAAUUUUGAGAGGUAUAUGGACAAUUAUCCUUUCUUAAAAAUAUUAUGAAAAAAAUCUUUUAAGAAAAAUAUUUUUGUGAUUUUCUUUUUCAAUUUUUUGUCCUUCUAGUUCUUAAAAAAAUAUUUUUUUCAUAUUUUAUGAGAAAUUAGUGUUUUUGUUUUUCAAAAAAAGGUUCAAAAAACAAAAACAAUAAUUUUCCGUAAAAUCUAGAAAAAUGUUAUAAAUUUUUUUUUCCUUUUUUAAAUUAAAUGCGCUAAAAAAAAAUUCAUAAAAAACAAUCUUUUCCAUGCAUUUCCUAGGAACGAAGCAGCACUUAGAAAGCUCUAUUAUUUAAUCUCAUCCAAAAUGAAACUUUGUUGACAGAUUGGAGGUUUUUUUUUUUUUUUUUGAGAGAAUGACAUGCUACCCGCUUCGUUUAUUUCGUUUAAAAAUAACAAAACUGGAAAUGUGAAUCAGCUAGGAUUCAAACUUGGGUCUCGAAUAUCAACAACCAAACUUUUUUGCCACUUACGUUAGGAACAGUCGGUUGCCAGAUUGGAGUUAAAAGUAAAAAAGUGCAAUAAAGUCUAAAAAUAACGACUUCCGUUCAGAGCCUUCUGUUUUGCUGAUGUUUGGAUGGAUUGCCAUAAACCAUAAACUCCAAUUGGUACUGCUGAAAUAUUCUUUAUAGACAAAUACUAUACCCUACUGUAGAACUAAAACUUUUUUUCAUUCUCACAAGACAACCCAUGUUCAAGAACAAGAAUAGACAAAAAGCUAAAAAAUCUAAGGUAUCGUUUAGUUUAGAGAUAAGUAAAAAAUAGUUAUUCUAGGGAUAAGUAUAAAUUGAGGUAUAAGUCAAGAUUAAAUUAAUUUUAUGUUUAAUUGAAAAUUGGGUUAUUUCUAGGAAUAAAAAAAAUAACGUUUGGUUAAGUAAGAUGGAAUAAGAAUUAAAGUGGAUAGUUAUAAAUAAAAAAUAAUGAUAUUAUCCCUAUCCUAAUAUUUGAAUUUGAAUUUUUAAAUUAUAUAUAUAUAUAUAUUUUGAAAUCUAAAAUUUUAAUUUUUAAAUUUCAAAAUUUCAAAUUAAAUUUUAAAAUUUAAAAUCUCAAAAUUUAAAUUCAAAAUUUUAAAUUUUAAAUUUUAAAUUUCAAACUUUAAAUUUAAGAUCAAAUUUAAAUUUAAAAAAUAUAAAAUAUCAAAUUUUAACAUUUAAAAAUUUAAAAUAUCAAAUUUAAAAUUUAAAAUUUAAAAUUUUGAAAAUAAAAAUAGGGGUGGAACAAUUAAUAAAAAUAAUUUAUUAUAAUAAAUUUAUAAAUUUGAUAAUAAUAAUUUUUUUAAUAAAUUUAUAAAUUUUUUAUUAUUAAUAAUUAAUAUUUUUUAAAAUUCUACUUAAGCUUAAAUUUAAUAAAAAAAAUUUUUAUAAUAUUUAAAUAUAAUUUAUUAUUAAAUUUAUUAUAAUAUUUAAUAUUUAAAUAUAAAAUAAUAUGGAUUAAUAUAGGAUAUUAAUAAUUAAUAAUAAAAUAAUAUAUUAUAUAUAUACUAUUAUAUUUAUAUAAUUUAGUUUUAAUUUAAUUUAUAUUUUUAAUAAAUUUGAAAUUAAAAUUUGGAAUAGCACUAUUCCAUCAAAAUAAUUCCUUACUAUCCGGAAUAGUCGGGAAUAACAAAAUUUGACUAGAUAAAAUAUUCCGGCCAAAAAUUAUUUCGUUUGGCGAAUAGCGGAGUAACAUUCGUUAUUUCCGCUUAUACCGCAACCAAACGGGCCUAAGAAAAUGUUCACGGAAUUAGAUUAGUUUUUCAUCCCAGAAUAUAUUUGUGACGUGAGAGAUUGCACAGAUUAAUGGUCAAAUCUAGAAAACUAUACAAGAAAUAUAUAAUGUAAUUGCGUCCCAUGAAUCAGAUUGGUCCCACUGCUGGGCCCAAAUCUACACAGCGUGCGUGGCGUGGCGGGUGGGAUGUGUUCGGAGAUUGACCCAUUGAGUUGUGUUGGACAUAAAAGAUGAUAAGUUAGGAAUUAAAUGGCCGUGCCGGACCGUAUGACGGGGAGUACUUAUCCUAGUUAGUAAAUUUGCGAAUAAUACGUAAAUUAUUCGUAAAUUUUUUAAUAGCCGAAUUAAACGCACUAAACGUAUUUUGUUUCCAAAAGUGCGAAAAAAAAAGCGUUUUUAUCUCCAAAAAUAAUUAUCAGUGAAUAUUCGCGAUUUCCAAUAAUUCGCUCAAAAAUCGGCGGCGACGCUCGCGUUGUCGUCCUCCUCCGCCGCCGCCCUAUGCCGGCGCCGGAGCAAGAGGGCUGCAGCUACGGUUCCUGCCUCACCCGACGCAUCCUUUUCGCCAAAAAAACGACCUGGCCAGUCGGCGACGCUCGUCGUCGUCCUCUCCUCCGCGCCGCCCUGGCCGAUGCGCGGAGCAAGAGGGCCGCGGCUACGGUUCCAUCUCGCCCGACGCCGUCUGCGACUCCUCGUGCGUCCGCAGAAAAAAAAAAUGAAUAGAAAAAAAUCACGGCGUUUGCGCGCGGUCUCGCAGGAAAGACAAUGCCGCGGUCCACGAGCGCCAUUGGCCUCGGUGGACCGGAUGACGUGGCUCCUCUCAUUAUAUAUAUAUAUAUAUAUAUAUAUUAUAUAUUAUAUAUAUAUAUAUUUUAUUUAUUAAUAUUUUAAAUAAUAUUAUAAUAUUAUUAUCAUAAUUUUAAUAUAUAUAAUUAUUAAAAAUUAUAAAUAAUAAUAUAUAUAUAGUAUAUUAAUUUUAUAUAGCCGAAUUUUUUAUUCCGAAUUUUUAAUGAUAAACGUAUAUUACCCGUAUAAAUCACGUUAUCCGAAUAAUUACCGAAUCCGUUUUUUAGUCGUAUUUUUCAACGAAUUUAAAAAUUAGAAGACGAAUUUUAUCGAAAUUAUAUCCGUACCGAAUUUGCCGAAUCCGAAUUAACUAACUAUGGUACUUACUCGACCCGAGAUGUCACCGCCCUUUAACUAACUAUGGACUUACUUCGACGAGAUGUCACCGUCCUCUCGCGUGCGCAUAUUGUUACGACCUAUAUUAAGACCUGGGAGAGGCUCCAUUGCCAUAUAUAUUUCCCUGAGAAUUUUAUUUUGCUUUUGAUCAUUGAUGAGAUCACUCACGAGUUCAAAUUUUUAUGAAAGUAUGGGGUUUAAAAUAUUCUUUGGCAUUAUUUAGUUUUUUAAUGCCUUUUAAUUAGGCUCUUUUGAUUGAUGUUGCCUUUUUUUAAAAAUUAAUUUUAAACACUAAUUAUACAUAGUUAAAAAUUAACCAUAAAGAUUCGCUUAAUUGCAAUGAAUUCUAACUAAAUAAUGAGUAAUAAUUUAUUGAAAAAAAUUAUAAAAAUAAAAAAUAUUUUUAUUUUUUUUUUAUGUCAAAGUAUCAAACAAUACUUGUAUGUAAGAAUUGCGAUGCAAUUUGUCAUCCCUUCUGCACAUAAAUUAUAUGUAGAUUUAUAUUUUGAAAAAAUUAAAGAAAUAGUAGCGACGUCUACGAGGCGUUAAAAUUUUGUUAAUGCACGUGAUUCGAUGAAAUGUUUCAGGCGUAUGCCUCACAUGAAAUAUCUGUCUGCGAGAGAAAACCCUUCUUCCUCUGCGGCAUGCCAACUAAAGCAUGGGCACGAAGAGAACCAAAAAAAAAAAAAAAAAAAAAAAAAAGGAAAAGAAAAAGAAAAAGACCACCAAGUCAUCAAACAAAGAUCUAAAUGGGCCGGGCCCGGCCCGACCUUCAUUCCUCUUUGAAACCCCGCUUAGGACAUGAUCCGGCCCGCAAAAAGAAGGGCGUAAAAUCAAAAUGGGCCGGGCGCAGAGUCUUCAUCUUAAACCCUUCCCCGUUUCUCUCUCGCUCGCCAACUCCGACACGUCAAACCCUUUCACGGGGCGGCCGCCACCCUCCUCCGCCACGGCGCCUCGUUCCAUUCCAGGUAGAAAACUUCAAAGCAUAACAAAAUAAAAUUUGGUUUACAUACUAGUUCUAAAUAAUCACAAAUUAUUAUUCUUUUGAUUUCGAUAUUAAGAGGUAGAGCGGGAAUUACUUGUUGUGCAAGUAUAUAUUUAUGUAUAUCUUUUGAUGAUACGAACCCUAAUUCAAAUCAAUUCACAGAUUUGCAGCUACCAGGUAGAAACCUGCUUUGAUCAUCAAUUGGACGCUCUUCAAAUUUGUCGCAUAUAGAAAAAGAGAAAGGUAAAGUUACUAUAUAAUCAUGUAUUCAUAUGUUACGCGCGUUUGGGGCAAUUCAACAAAUAUCUUAAGAGCGUAAAAUUUAGAGUGUAAGUGCUUUCCAUGAGAGAUCACUUGAUAAAUUAUAGUUAGAAGCUGUUAAUUAGCAUGUUCGAAAUUAUUUGUUGUAGUUAAUAUGAUAUAGUAAGGUAGUGUUUGGUUCGGGAACAAGGGAGAGAAUAAGCCCUUGUUCCCCCCUUUGUUCCCAAACGCAGCGUUUGGUAACCGAGAACAGUAGUUUUCGGAUUUUUGGAACUAGCUGGUAUAAGACUGGAACUAGCUGGAAUUGUUGUUCUACCUUUUUCCUGGAACAAGCUUGUUCCCGAAUGAGAACAAGAUUAAUUAAAUAUAAAUUUAAAAUUUAAUGAUAGUAAACUAUUAAUUAAUCUAAUUAAUAUAUUUGAAUUAUUAUCUAUUGCUUAAAUAAUAAAAUAAAUAAAUAAAUAAUGAAUUAUAAUUAAUUAUUUAUAAUUAGAUAAUAAUAAUUAUUAAUUUAAUAAUUAUUAUUUAUUAAUAAUUAUUAAUUAAAUAAUUAUUAUUAAUAAUUAUUAUUCUUAAGAAAUAGAUAAUCGAUAUUAUUAUUAAUUUAUUAUUUAUAAUUAAUUAUUAAUAAUUAGAUAAUUAUUAUUAAUUAAUUUAUUACUUAUAAUUAAUUAUUAAUAAUUUUACUUAUAAUAAUUAAUAUAAGUAAUAAUGUUAAAAAAUAAUUAAUUAAUUAAUUAAGUAAUAAUUAUUAAAAAAAUUCAUAUAACUAAUUAAGUUACUCAUUAAAGGAAAAAAAAGAGGAGGACCGUAAUAAAGAAAGCCAGGAAAGGAAGUAUUAUUACUUAUAAAAUAGAAAUAUAAAAAUAAGUAUAAUUAAUUAAAUUAAGUGAAAUAGUUAAAUUAAUAAUUAUGAAUGUGAGUAGGGGUAGGGGAUUGUUGAGUUUAUCUAAUUUAUUAUUAUUUAUUUCUUAACUUAUAUUUGAAUGUAUAAUAUAUCUAAGAUAAUAUAAUGUUAAUUUCAAAUUAUAACUUUUGAUUCCUUCUAUUCAUUUAACCCAUCCAAUUGAGAACGCUAUUUACCUUAUUCCUAGUAACAACCAUGUCAUCGCAAACAGGUAAAAUUGGCUCUACGUUCCUCGCUUAUACCUGAAGCUUCGUACCUAUCCUAUGCCGGAACAACAUUCUACGUAUACCAUGAAGCUCAAACCAGCCUAAAUACGAGCCUCAUUAUAAUGAGGACAUAAUAAGAUGUAAAUAUCAUAUUAUCAUGUCUUUUCUACUAACUCUGUUUUUCUUUUAUAUUAAUUUCUAAUUUUUUGUCGGAAUCAAUUAGUGUACCUAACAAUUUUAUGGAUAAUGAGUGGCCCUCAAAUAAUCCUCAUCGUAUCAGGUUCUGUUACACGAAAUCGAUAAUCCUUAUGAUAUCAAGUCUCUUUCGUCUCUUCUUCCAUCCUGAACUAACUUUAGUAUAAUUGGAACUACGAUUUUAACAAUAGUGUAACUAAUAUAUAGACCUUAGUAUCUACAACCGUUGGCAUGGUAGUGCCUCAGAGCACCAAUUGAAUGAUUCAUUCAUAAUAGCAUGAUGUACUUUAUCUUGACAAUUGAUGGUUUAAACGAACACGUAACGGAUUGCAAUAUUUUCUAGUUGAAGUCAUUUGAUGGGAAAACAUGCUGAGUGUUUAUUUUCAUCUUAUUCUAUACCGGCAUGUGGUUAAGAGAUCGGGGCUAAAAUAUAACACACUUAUUGUGACGCAAUUGAUUACGGUGACGUACAGACGUUACAAUUAUAUCUGUCAAAAUAUACACUGCAACUAUACUACCGAUGUGUUAUUGAAUAGACCUAAGUUCAUUAUUAUGCGAUAUUUUUAUUCCAAGCUAGCAUAUUAGUGUAAGCGCUCCAAAUUUCCACAUCGUAUCGGAUCUUGAUGCUCCGAUUACUGUAAUAUAACUAGCCCUACACCUAUUAAUAAUAAAUGUCGUUAAGUAUUUUGGACUGGUUGUUGGGGCGUCCAACAAGUUAUUACGCUGCAGGUUUGGUUUUUUACAAUUUUGUAAUCAAACGACCGAAUAACCACCGGAAGUGAGAAGAUAAGUGCUAUCGGGGACACCAAUACUACACCAACCGUUGGGGAGCCACGUCUCUUGAAACCGUAGAAGCACCUCUAGAAUCUCACAUGUUGUCUGAAUACUGUUCGCUGAUGACCGGUUUGUAUCUGUGAUCUGGUUGGACCGACGCUGGACUCAUGGUCUAAACAGGGUCGGAGUUUUGUAACGCUCCCCAAAAUCCCACCAAUCGAUGAACCUGAUGCCACGUCCGGGUCCAAAUAGGCGAGAGUUUGGGACCUCGAAUGUCCGGCACAUCGUCAUGGAUAUCUGAUUCCUCGAUCGUUUUAUAAUGAGACUCCUUACAUCCGCUAUUAAUCAAUAAAUGGCUUAACGCAUUUUUGCCGAUUUUUGGGCCCCACGAGUUAUUAUUUCUAAGCCACGCCGGUUCGUAUACACCUUUGGUAUAUACAGCCGAAUACCAGCACGGACAGUCGUUGAGAGCUAAUGUUAAUCGCGACAAACUGCUACACGUAACGAUUGGUGAAAGGCACCUCUUUGAACCCAUAAAGUAGCCAGCCGGGCAGGAGCCACACUUCUAGAACUCACCAUCCCUGAUAAUACGGUUCUUGUCCUGCUGACCUGGUUGAUUCUCGACGAGUAAGUCAGGUCUAAACGGUGGUUUGUAACUCUCCCAGAUGAGUUCCACAAUCGAUAGAUACUGAUUCUCGAUUAUUAUACUAUAUGCCGUAUCACCUAGUAGAGAGAAUGCAGUUAAGCCAUUUUGGGCUGACUGGGUUUUGGCCCAAACGAGUUAUUAUCUGCUGGCGGGUCGAUUCGCUACAUAUUAGUCGAAUGCGGAAAGGUUUAGUCGGGUCCCUCGCUUGGCACGAUUCGUGUCCGUCCUACGCUUAUUUGGCGACCCCGCGAUUUGUUGUGGCCCUGUGCUUACCUGAUCUGCUUCCGACUGUUGUAGCGGUCCUGUUCUCUGUCCGAUAAUUAUUCGAUAGCAUAAAACUUCCGCUUCUUAGCAAAUUUUUCUAUUUAAAUUUUGCCGUAUUUUAGCCACGAAUUAGUGUUUACAUUCCUUUCCCUACAUCAAAGAAGGAGCAAAGUGAUUGCACCGAAUUGAGCCUUAGGCUGUGGAGAUGUUAGUGUGAAUGGAAGUAGAUAUAAAGACUCUUGUGCGUCACAUUUGCAAAACGCGGCAAAUGAGAAUCUGCCUUCAUAGUACCAAUUAUGUGUUUGCCCAUAUGUACCGGAAAGAACAUAAGAUAUAACAUCAUAGAUCAGCAAGCUAUGACGGAGGGACAGAUAUUUUCGUGUAGUUGCUAUCUCAUACUUCAGUCACUAAGCUUUUACUACUGACAUGUUUACAUGAAAAGUUCUUUCAGGCGGCGACUCAAUAGGACUAUGGGUACCGGUAUGCAGAUUUUCCCCCUUUUCAUAUAAAUUUCAUGCCUGAAAUUGGUUGUAACGGAUUUGUCUAUACUAUCCGAAAGCCUCACACAAAAUUCGAGACGCCCUUCGGUCAAAAGCUAUUUGUUGAUACAGGCACUAUAUGAGGCUACGUUCUUUGACCAAUACUUGUCUAAGCUUUCAUUGUUUGCUCGUCGAACUCAAUAUAAUCAAUUCACUUAAGAUCCUUAAUCGCACCUAGUACGUAGACAAAGGCAGUGACCUACGUCAUCGAAUAGUUAUUUACUAUUCAUUACAUAUAUGAUUCUCUUCUGUUUAAUGCCGCCCGAUGUUUAAGCACUACUAUCGUAACUCUUGUGGUCUAUGAUCCCACCUUAUUGAUUCUUCUUUCUGUCAGAGAGAAUCCGAAACAAACCAGAAGGUAAAGCGUAGCGUCAAUCAAGUGAACCUGUUAUUAUAUAAGGCAGAAGAUGAAUUAGUUCAUGAGGUAUAAUUGAAUUAACUACUAAUCUUGGAUAUAUAGCUAACUCUGUAUAUAUAUACUGACAUAUAACGUUGAAUAUAUGCUACUCUCUAAGUUUGAUUAUUUUUUAAGGCACUAUUUAUAGUUACCGACUUCCUCAUUCCAGACUCAGAAGUUUUACUUUUCUAGUUUCAUCCGCUGUGAGCACCCUUGUUCCAGACAACAGUAAUUUGCUAAUGUAGUUAUUUAAGUAUGCCAAUACUUGCUCUUUGUCUUAAUUACUCCCUGUUUUAUGUCCUUUUUUUCUAUUAUUAACCCAGAUUGGAUAAAUUAGAACCAUUAUAAAAUUUGAACUUUUGCGUCCCAUUGGAGUUUUCACAGCUUGUCUACAUAUUGUGUGUAAGUUGAUCUUUAUUUCCGAAUGUGAAUGAAGCAAAUUGAGUGGACAACCCAGAGCCUUUGCCUUCUAAGAGCACCUAGCAAUAGCCUUGAUAGCGAUUAGAUCCGUCCCUUUCUAAACUUUCACCCUGUUCGAUCUUCGCCAUGAUUCCACGGAGGUGUGCUUCCAUAUCACGUGCUUGUUGUGCCUAUUCAUUGAUUCCAAUCUGUCACUCAUGGUAAUUUGCGAUGCAUGUCCAACAGCUGAAAAGAGUGAUACCUUGGUCUUUUGUUCUUAAGCUGUAGAAGAGCAUCGCUCUUUAAAUUAAAAGAUGACUAACAUUGAAAAAGCCAAACAAAAUUGUAUCUUCUAAACAAGCUUUGUGAGUUCGUCCUAAAAUGAAAAUUGGGAAUUUUAAUGUGAAAGGGAUCAUAUCACGUCGCUGGUACAAAUGUAAUUUUCGGCUAUAGAACUAUUGUCCGUUCAGCUUUUUUACUAUAUAUUCUAUGACUAAGAAUCCUUAAUGCCUAUGAGCAAUUGCUUUCACAAUUUUAGAAAGGAUCUUUUGGCAAGAUACAUGCAAUUAUUAUUUUGCACAAAACGUCGCUAGAUAACUAUCUAGAAUGCUACAUGGUUAUUUGUCAUACCGUAUUCGAACACUUUUACAUAUUAUAAAAAGUUGUCUCACAGAAUUCCCAUCUCGAAAUAAAAUGAUGCAGCGGAGAUUGUAGCAGUCUGUUUAUAUGGUGAGUCGAAUAGCAUUGCGCGGCCUGCUAGCUUAACUUAUUGUCCGUCAUUGAAAGGAUGCUUAUACUGCUGGCCAUAUUUUUCCCUUCACUUGUGAUUAAUUUUAGUUGCUCAAAAGUUAUCAAGAAAGCACUGCAGUUAAAAUAUGCUGUAUUGAUAUAUUUCCAGUUCAUUUUUGUAAUGACUUGAAUAGUACUUAUCUUGAUUUUCAUUUGCAUCAACAACUGUACCAUAUUUCUUUUUUGUCAGUUGAAGAACUAUAUCCAAAAAAAAAAUUGGUCAAGUUGGUUGUUAAAGCUGACAGAUGUCUCCAAAGCUUUCGAGAAAAGUUAAAAAUCUUAGUAGCUGCUCGAAUUCAUGAUGCUUCAGCAUGAUAAUUUGGUGUAAAUAUAGUUGUUUUAUAGUUCGAGUAGUGUUGCCACUUAUUGUAGUUGAAUAUCAAACCAUUUUUCAUUGUUCAGCUUUUGCACAAACAUACAUUCACUAAGGUGAAAUUCCUUUCAAUUGUGGCAGACAGGACAAAUUUGUGUGUGGAAUAUCCCUGACAAGUAAGAUUUAGUUGCAAAGAUAGGGUGGAACGCAAAAUACUUUUGGCAUUUCCAUCUCCCUUCUUUUGUUAUUGUAAGUUGCAGGAUUGCCAAAUCUAUUUUACUUGUAGUUAGAGCUUAAACAGAAAAAUGCAUGACAAUCGUAAGAUGAUCGUGCCCUCGUUAUAUCCACAUUUAUGGGAAUUGGCACAUUAAUGUCUAUAGGCUAUCUCUGCAAAAUAAUUUCUAUCACUUUUGUACAUAACAAAAUGCUUAAUGGUACACCUUUUCUAAUUUCCAUAUCUAUUCUUCGAAUAUGAUACUUUUGCAAGUCCAGAAUGCACUAGAAUUCUCAAGAUAACCGAGUAGUUUUUAUCCAUGUUGAUUGUACUCUAUAUGAGUACGAGUACAUCCUUGUUAGAAGCAUGCCCUUUUUUCUAUUGGAUAUCUGCGAAUUCCUCUUAUUAGCGUGUUUAGAUAAUCAGAGUAAAUAUUUAAUGAUAUCUUAUUCCGUAAAAUCUUAUCACUGAAACUAGAGUAUGGUAUAAUCGAAUAUAGAUAUAUUCGAGCCUUCACAAUAAUUUUUUGACAUAAAAAAUUAUCUGUAAAUGAAUAUAUAUGCUACAAUAUUUGAUUCAAGAAUUUUUAAAGUCGAUAGAUGUGUCGGGAUCAAACACUUCAAGGUCCUCUUCCGAUGUGUAUAGCGGAGCGAAUACAAAAACGAGCCCCCAGAGUUAAAAGGAGUGUCGUUGAAAAGAGGAGUGAAUUGUAUAGGAUUCUGGAGAGGCUCUGGGUAUGCCCGCCCUAGCCCCUCUAUCUCGCGCUCAAGCGAGUGUUAGCAGUUUCCAAAGGCACAGGUUGACACGAUAGGGGAGAUGGCGGGAUGCACAGUUCUCCUUCCUCAUUUAAAUCGACCUAUAGAAUCUAAAAUCGGCGGUACGUGGACCGAAGUGUCAACAAGAUAUGGAGGCUCCGAAUACGGACUUAAGUCUAAAGUAUAUCUGUUGAGCUAUUUCUUAUAAAAAAAACUUCCCUACCAGCUGAAUCCUUGUAAGAUAGAGGAAGGACCGGGGACAUUGCCGUGUAUUGUGGCAGGCAUACAUGCCGAUCAGUGACAUCUAUCACGCUGUAAUCAGCAUUGCCUUAAUGUUUUUAUGGAAUAGGCCCUUGAGACGUCCAGCGGAAUUGUUGACGAUUGUGCACGUAGCUCUUGAAUAGGUGGAAGGGGGGGAACGGGGGCAGAAAGAACAAAGGGACUAGCCGAUUAGCUGCAUGCUGAUAAGCAUAUGAAAGUCGGAACCCCACCUUAUCUUUCGGAACAUCCCAUGGAAUCCGUGCUAGAGUGCAAGGCCUCAGCAGCUUAUCAUUUCUUGGAAAGAAUCUCUAUAUUUUUUUUUUUUCCUUGUACGUUCAGGUUUUUCCGUGUUUUCCGAUAGCCCUGCUGCCUUCAUCCUUGUAGUACUAAUUCAUACUUUUAAUGAAUGAAAGCAAGUAGCGUUCUACUAUCUCUCUAAACAAAAAAAGAAAACAGCCUUUCGCCCUUCUAUUUAUAUAAAAAAUUUUAUACCGAAAAAAUUAUAUAACAUAACUUCUUUGGCCAUCAAAUUAAUUUAUUGUCUAACUGUUUUGUUCGGAUCACGGCUGUAUGAUUAGAAUUUUAAAUAAACUAUAAACUUGAUGGUCACUCAAUCAAACUCUACAGUCUAUAUCGAAUGAGUGGAGAUUCUUGGAUUGAAUGGAAUCGAUUAGUUAAUAAUUUGCAGACAUACGUACGGCUUUCAGAUGUUGAAGAGAGAGAGAGAGAGAGAGAGAGAGAGAGAGAGAGCGAAUGCGUGUAUGAUUGUUCAUAUAUUUCGAGCAAUCAAGUCAGCAACAAAGAUUGGAGUUUUCUCUCUUCUACUGUCUAUCUUCCUUUAUCUGCAAUCAUCAGAUACGAAAUUUAUUCCUUUCGAAGAACUUCGCUCUGUUCAACGAGAUCCAUUUUUACCAUUCUCGUGUCAACUCAUCCAUCUAUUCCGAUCGUCAAAGUCUAUCUGAGUAGUUAAUUGCGAUUUUACAUUUUAAUACUUGUUAGGGCAGCUCGAUAUACAUGAAUUAUCGUGAUCGUUCGACUAAAACCAGUCCGAACGCAGCGAGGACAACUAUGAAAACGUUUCUAAUUACCCUCUAUCCAACAACCUAUACUCCUUGAUGCAUUUGGGGGUAUAGUCAUUAAACUGGAAUCCUAAAAGUUGCUACGUUCAACCAUUCAAUUGAGAGUAAUUUAGAUUGUUGUUCCUCGUAAAUAGAUUGGAGUGUAGCGAAUUACUGGCCUCCCAUUAAUAAGCCUAUCCUGCUGGCCAUUCCAAAAGAAUGAAGAGGCACUCAGCUUNNNNNNNNNNNNNNNNNNNNNNNNNAAUAAAAUAUUCCGGCAAAAAUUAUUUCGUUAUGGCGAAAAUACGGAAGAUAACAUUCGUUAUUCCCGCUUAUACGCCAACCAAACGAGGCUAGAAAAUGUUCACGGAAUAGAUUAGUUUUCAUCCAGUAUAUGUGACGUGAGAGGAUUGCACAGAUUAAUGGUCAAAUCGGGAAACUAUACAGAAAUAUAUAAUGUAAUUGGUCCCAUUGAACGCAUUGGUCCCACUGGCGGGUGGCCCAAAUCUUACAGCAAGCGUGGCGUGGCGUCGGGCGUCCGGGGAUGUGCUUCGGGAAAUUGACCAUUUAGUUUGGCAUUAAAGAAUGAUAAGGUUGGAAUUAAAAUGCCGUGCCGGGACGUAUGAGGGGGUACUUAUCCGUAGUAGAAAUUGGAAAUAAUACGCGUGAUUAAUUUGUAAACUUUUUAAUAGCCGAAUUACGGCCACUAAAGUGAUUUUGUCCAAAAGGUGUACUGUUACGAAAAAAAAAAAGCGUUUUGUAUCCUCCAAAUAAUUAUCAGUGAAAUAUUCGCCGAUUCCGGCGAAAUUCGCUCAAAAUUCGGCGGCCGAGCCAGGCGACGCUCGUCGUUGUCGUCCUCCUCGCCGCGCCCUGGCCCGGCGCCGGAGGCAAGAGGUGCGGCCUACGGUCCUGCCUCACGCCGCGCCAUCUGUUUCGCCCAAAAAACGCCUGGGCGAGUCGGCACGCUCGUCGUUCGUCCGUCCUCCUCCGCUCCGCCCUGGCCCGAUGCGUGGGAGCAGCAAGAGGGCCGCAGUCAGUCCCAUUCUCGCCCCGCCGUCUGCGGCUCUCGUGCGCAGCGUGGCCGCCAGAAAAAAAAAAUGAAUAGAAAAAUCACGGUGUUGGCGCGCUCGCAGGAAAGACCAUGCGCGGUCAAGAGGCCAAUCGGACGGAUGGAGGGAGGGUCCAUGGACCUCGCUUCAUAUAAUAUAUAUAUAUAUAUAUAUAUAUAUAAUUUAAUAUAUAUAUAAUUGUAUUUAUUAAUAUUUUUAAUAAAUUAUUAGUAAUAUAUAUAUCAUAAUUUUAAUAUAAUAAUAUAAAAUUAUAAUAAUAAUAUAUAUAAUAGUAUAUUUAAUUAUUAGAUAUUUAUGUUAUUAUAUAGCCGAAUUUUUUAUUCCGAAUUUUUAAUGGAUAAACGUAUAUUACCCGUAUAAAUCACGUAUCCGAAUAAUUACCGAAUCCGUUUUUUAGUCGUAUUUUUCAACGAAUUUAAAAAUUAGAAGACGAAUUUUAUCGAAAUUAUAUCCGUACCGAAUUUUUGCCGAAUCCGAAUUAACUAACUAUGGUACUUACUCGACCCGAGAUGUCACCGCCCUCUUAACUAACUAUGGUACUUACUCGACCAGAGAUGUCACCGUCCUCCUCGCGUGCGCAUAUUGUUACGACCUAAUUAAGGACCUGGGAGAGGCUCCAUUGCCAUAUAUAUUUCCCUGAGAAUUUUAUUUUGCUUUUGAUCAUUGAUGAGAUCACUCACCAGGUCAAAUCUUGUAUGAAAGUAUGGGGUUUAAAAUAUUCCUUUGGCAUUAUUUAGUUUUUUAAUGCUUUUAAUUAGGGCUCUUUUGAUUGAUGUUGCCUUUUUUUAAAAAAUUAUUUUAAACACUAAUUAUACAUAGUUAAAAAAUUAACAUAAAGAUUCGUUAACUUGCAAUGAAUUCUAACUAAAUAAUGAGUAAUAAUUUAUUGAAAAAAUUAUUAAAAAUAAAAAAUAUUUUUAUUUUUUGUUUUUUAUGUCAAAGUAUCAAACAAAUACUUUGUAUGUAAGAAUUGCGUGCAAUUUGUCAUCCCUUCUCACAUAAAUUAUAUGUAGAAUUUAUAUUUUGAAAAAAUUAAAGAAAUAGUAGCGACGUCUAACGAGGCGUUAAAAUUUUGUUAAUGCACGUGAUUCGAUGAAAUGUUUCAGGCGUAUGCCUCACAUGAAAUAUCUGUUGCGGAGAAAACCUUCUUCCUCUGCGGCAUGCAACUAAAGCAUGGGUACACGAAGAGAACCAAAAAAAAAAAAAAAAAAAAAAAAAAGGAAAAGAAAAAGAUAAAGACCACGAGUCAUCAAACAAAGAUCUUAAAUGGGCGGGCCCGGCCCGACCUUCAUUCUCUUUUGAAACCCCGCUAUAGACAUGCAUCCGGCCGCAUAAAGAAGUGCGUAAAAUCAAAAUGGGCGCCGCGGGCAGAGUCUUGCAUCUUAACCCUUCCUGUUUCUCUAAAUCGUCGCAAUCCGACAACGUCACAACCCUUUCACCGGCGCGGCGCCACCCUACCGCGCCACGCGCCCUCGUUCACAUCAGUAUAAAAAUUCAAAGCAUACAAAAUUAAAAUUUUGGGUUUACAUACUAGUUUAGAUAUCACAAAUUAUUAUUCUUUUGAUUUCGAUAUUAAGAGCGUAGAGGGGGAAUUAACUCUGUGUGUGCAAAGAUAUAUUUAUGUAUAUCUUUGUUUUGAUGAUACGAACCCGCUAUUCAAUCAAUUCACAGAUUUGCAGCUUACCAGGUAGAAACCUUGCUUGUUGAUCAUCAUUGGACGCUCUUCAAAUUGGUGUCAUAUAAAAAAGAGUAAGUUAAGUACUAUAUAUCAUGUAUUAUAUUUAGCGCGUUUGGGGACAAUUCAACAAAUACUCUUAGUAAGAGCGCUAAAAUUAGAGUUAAGUGGCUUUCCAGAGAGAUCACUUGUAUAAUAUUAUAGUUAGAAGCUGCUUGAAUUAGCAUGUCGAAAUUACUUUCUUGUAUUAAUAUGAUAUAGUAAAUAAGUUAGUGUUUUGGUUCGGACGGAAGCAAAGGAGAGAAUAACCUUGUUCCCCCCUUGUGUUCCCAAUCGCAGCGUUAGGUACGAGAACAGUAGUUUUCGAGAUUUUGAACUAGCUGCGGUAUAAGCACUGAACUAUGGAAUUGUUGUUCUUACCUUUUUCCUGGACAAGCUUUGUCGCGAUUGAGAACAAGAUUAUUUAAAUAUAAAUUAAAAUUUUAAUGAUAGUAAACUAUUAUUAAUCAAUUAUUAAUUUGAACUUAUUAUCUAUGCUAAAUAAUAAUAAAUAAAUAACUAAUGAAUUAUAAUUAAUUAUUUAUAAUUAGAUAAUAAUAAUUAUUAAUUUAAUAAUUUAUUUAAAUAAUUAUUAAUUAAAUAAUAUUUAUUAUUAAUUAUAUCUUAGAAAUAAGUUAAUGAUUAUUAUUAUUAAUUUUCUAUAUUAUUUAAAUUAAUAAUAAAAUAAAAGAUUAUUCUAGAUGAUAUUAGAUAAUCGAUAUUAUUGUAAUUAUUAUUAAAUAAUAAUAAUUAAUAAUUAUUAAUUAUUUAUUAAUAAUGUUUUAUAAUUAAUUAUUAUAAUAAUAAUUAUUUUUAUUAAUCUAUUUUAUAAUAAUAUUAAAGUGAUUAAUAAUUAAUUAAUUAAUUAAGAUAAUAUUAAUAAUUAAUUAAUUAAUUAAGUAAUAAUUAUUAUAAUUAUUAUAAUAAUGACUUUAUUACUUAUAAAUAAUAUAAAUUAAUAAUAAUAAUUAAUUAAUAUAAUAGUUAUUAUUAGAUUAUUUUAUUUAAUUUUUUUUUAAUUAUUAUUAUUAUUUAUUUAUUAUUUAUUUUUAAGUAAUAUUUUGAUGUUAAUUAAUUAGAUAAUAUAAUGUUAAUUUCAAAUUAUAACUUUUAUUCCUCUUAUUUCAAUUUAACCAUCCAAACGCUAUUUACCUUAUUCCUAGGAACAACUCAAUUUUCAUCCAAACGUAAAAUUGGUCUAGUUCCUGCUUAUACCUGAACUUGUACCUAUCCCUGGAACAAGCAGUUCUUACUUAUACCUGAACCAAACGCAGCCUAAAAGUACGAGCUCAUUAUAAUGAGGGAAUAAGUAAGAUUGUAAAUAUCAUGAGUAAUUUAUUCAUGUCUUUUUACUAUAGCUUCUGUUUUUCUUUUUAUAUUAAUUUACUAAUGUUUUUCGGAAAUCAUAUUAGGUUGGACCUAACAUUUUCUUGGAUAAAUGGAGAUGGCCUCAAAUAAUCCUCAUCGUACUCAGUUUCCUGUUACAGAGAAGUCGAUAUCCUUAGAUAUCAAGGUCUCUUUCUCUCUCUCCCGAACUAACUUUUAGUAUAAUUGGACUUACGAUGUGUUUAACAUAGUGUAACCUUAUAUAACCUUGUAUCUACAACCGAUUGGCAUGGUAUGUGCCUAACAGCACCAGAUUUGGCAUGAUUCAUUCAUAUAUGAUCAUGAUGUACUUUUAUUUUUGACAUAUUGAUGGGUUUAACGAACACGUAACGGAUUGCAUGAUUUUUUCUUGGUUUAAGUCAUUGAUGAAAACAUGCUUGAAGUGUUUAUUUGUCAUCUUAUUCUACCGGGCCAUGUGGUUUAAGAGUAUCGGGCUAAAAUAAGCAGUUAUUGUGACCAAUUGAUUCCGGUGACGUAGCAGACUGGUUACAGAUUAUGACUGUCAAUGAUAUACACUCCAACUAUAGCUACUGAGUGUGUUUAUUGAAUAGCCUAAGUUCAUUAUUAUGCAUAUUUUUAUUCCAAGCUAGCAUAUUAGUGUAACGCCCCAAUAGUCCCACAUCGGAUGGGAUGCUGAUUCCGAUUACUUAAUAUAAGCCCUACACGCUAGUAAUAAUAAAUGGGCUUAAGUAUUUUGGACUGGUUGUUUGGGCCCAACAAGUUAUUACUGCUGGCAGGUUGGGUUGUUACAUUUGGUAUCAAAGCCGAAUACCAGCCGGAAGUGUGAGAGUUAAGUGCUAUGCGGGACAAAGUACUACACCAACGGGUUUGGUGGGAGCCACCUCUUGAACCCGUAGAAGCCACCUCUAGAAUCUCACAUUGUCUGGCAAUUCUGUUCCUAUUCUGUUUGUAUGUCUGUGAUCUGGUUUGGACCCGACGUGGACGUCAGGGUCUAAACAGGGGGAGUUUGUAACGCUCCAAUAGUCCCACAUCGGAUGGGAUACUGAUUCCACGUCGGGUCCAAAUAGGGAGAGUUUGUGACGCUCGAAUAGUCCCACAUCGGAUGGGAUACUGAUUCCGAUCAGUUUAUAUGAGACCUACACGCUAGUAAUAAUAACUGGGCUUAAGCAUUUUGGGCCGAUGGUUUGGGCCCAACGAGUUAUUAUUGCUAGCGGGCCGGGUCGUUACAUUUGGUAUUAGAGCCGAAUACCAGCCGGAAGUGUGAGAGCUAAGUGUUAUGCGGGACAAACUGCUACACUAACGGAUUUGGUGGGAACCACCUCUUGAACCCAUAGGAGCCACCUCUAGAAUCUCACAUCGCCUGAUAAUUCUGGUUCUGGUCUGUCUGUGACCUGGUUUGGACUCGACGAGUACGUCAGGGUCUAAACAGGGGGGUUUGUAACGCCCCAAUAGUUCCACAUCGGAUGAGAUACUGAUUCCGAUUAGUUUAUAUGAGGCCUACACGCUAGUAAUAAUAACUGAGGUUAAGCAUUUUGGGCUGAUGGUUUGGGCCCAACGAGUUAUUAUUGCUGGCGGGUCGGAUCGCUACAAUUAGUGUAUUGCGGAAUGUUAUCUCAGCUCGCUUGGCAUUUCCUACUAUGCCCUGUGCUUCCUUCAUCCGACUUUGUAGCGUCCUUCCUGUCCGAAUUGCUGAUAGCAUAACCAUUCCGCUUCUUAGCAAAUUUUUCUAUUUAAAAUUUUUGCGUAUUUUAGCCUGAAUUGUUGUUACAUCCUUUCCCUACAAUCAAACAAGGACAAAGCAUGCACCAAUUUGAGCCUAGGGCUGUGGAGAUGUUAGUGUGAUGGAAAGUAUAUAUAAACUUUUGUGCAUGCAAGGCGACAUGAGAAUCUCUUCAUGGCAUUAUGUGUUUGGCAUUGUAGGGAACUAAGAUAGACAUCAUAAUCAGCAAGUAUACAGAUAGUUUUCUGGUGAGUUGUAUCUCAUACUUCAGCACUAUAGCUUUUACUACUGACAUGUUUACAUGAAAAUGUUCUUUCAGGUCAUGGCGACUCAAAUAGGAUCUAUGGGUACCGGUAUUAGGUUUUCCCCCUUUUCAUAUAAAUUUCAUGCUGAAAUUGGUUGUAACUGGAUUUGUCUAUACCUAUCAAAGCCCACACAAGAACUUCGAGACUCCUUCCGGUUCAAAAGCUAUUUGUUGAUUAGCAGGAUAUAUGAGGUACGUUUCCUUUCCAAAUUGUCUAAUUUCAUUUGUUGCUCGAUCGAACUCAAUAUAUCAAUUCACUUUUAAUUGUAUGCCUUAAGUUCCACCCUAGUACGUAGACAAGAGGCUAGUGACUAGUUCAUCGAAUAUGGUUUAUUUACUAGUCAUUACGAUAUAUGAUCUCUCUGUUUAACCGCCGAUGUUAGCAUCUACUUAUGUGAAUGCUUGUUGGGUUAUGAUCAGCUUAUUGUUGUUCUUUUCUGUAGAGAGAUCCGAACAAACCGAAGGGAAAGCGUAGCGUCAAUCAAGAUGAACCUGUUAUUUAUAUAAAGGCAGAAGAUGAAGUAUUUCAUGAGGUAUAUAUUGAAUAUAUACUAUCUUGGAUAUAUACUAUCUUGUAUAUAUAUACUGGACAUAUACUAUCUUGAAUAUAUGCUAUCUGCUAUUUGAUUAUUUUUAAGCUAUUUAUAGUACCCUUCUCAUUUCAGCUCAGCACGUGGUCUUUUACUUUUCCUGUGCAUGCCGAGCAGUUGGUUCCAGACAACGUAAGUUGCAUGUAGUUAUUUAAAGUUAUGCCAUACUUGCUCUUUGUCUUUAUUAUCCAGCCUGUUUUUAUGUUCUUUUUUCUUUAUUAACCAGAUUGAUAAUAUUGAACAUUUAAAAUUUUGAACUUUUGGUCCAUUAUGGAUGGUUUUCACACUUGUCUAAGCAUACUGUGUGUAAGUUGAUCUUUAUUCCGGAAUGUGAAUGGAAGCAAAUGUGAGGUGGAAACACAGAAGGCCUUUGCGCUUCUAAGAGCACCUUAGCAUAGCCCUUGAUAGCAUUGGUAUCCCACUUCUAUCACUUUUUCACCUGUUCGAUGCUUCGCCAUGAUUCACGCAGGUGUGCUUCAUGAUGCAUGCUGUGUUGUGCCUAUCAUGAUUCCCAUCUGUCACUCAUGUAAUUUGUGAUGCAUGUCCAACAGGUGAAAAGGUGAUAGCUUGGUCGUUGUGUUUUAGCUUGUAGGGAAGAGACAUCCUUCUUUAAAGUAAGAAGUGAGCUAACAUUGAAAAAGCCAAACAAGAAGUUUGUAGUUGCUUAAACAAGCUUUUGUAGUUGCCUAAAUGAUAAAUUGUGGAAUUUAUGCUGAAAAGGGAUCAUAUUCACGUCCUGUAAAAUGUAAUUUUCGGCUAUAGAACUAUUGUCCGUUGCUUUUUAUAUUUAUUUCUAUGCUAGAUGCACUUUAUGCCAGAUUGAGCUAAUCUGCUUUCCAAUUUUUAUAAAGGAUCUUUUUGGCAAGAUAUGCAAGUUAUUAUUUGUCAUCAAAAUGCUAGAUUAAUAUUCUAAGGUUGACUUGUUAUUUGUCAUACGUAUUGAAACUUCUUUACAUAUAUUAAGAGAAGUUGUUACUCACAGAAUUUCCAUUCUGAAUAAAAAGUGCUGCGGAGAUUGUAGCAGUCUGUUUUUAUUAUGGUAUUCGAAUAGAUUGCUGCGCCUGCUACUUAACUUUAUUGAUCUGCAUUGAGGAUGCUUUAUACUUGCUGCCAUUUUUUUCCCUUGCACUUGUGAUUAAUUUUUUAUUCUCAAGAAGUUCAAGAAAGCACUGCAGUUAAAUAUGCUGUAUUUGAUAUAUUUCCAGUUCAUUUAUUUGUAUGCUUGAAUAGUGAUCUUAUCUUUGAUUUCAAUUUGCAUCAAUACUGGUACUCAUAUUUCUGUUUUCUGCAGUUGAAGAACUAUAGGCAGAUGGGUCAAGUUCUGGUUGUUAAAGCUGACGAUGUUCCCAAGUUUCGAGAAAAGUUAAAAUCUUUAGUAGCUGCUGAAUCAUGAUGCCUUCAGCAUGAUAAUUUUGGUGUGAAAUAGUUGUUUUAUAGUUCUGAGGGCUAGCUGUUGCCACUUUAUUUGUAGUUGAAAUAUCAAAUCUCAUUUCAUUGUUGCAUUUUGUGCAGCAAACAUAAUUUUCAAGGUGAAGUUUCCUUUUCAAUUGGUUGGCAAGGACAGGAGCUAAAAUUUGUGUGUGUAAUAUCCCUGGACAAGGUAAGUAUUUUGUAGAUUGUCCAAAGAUAGGUGGUGGGACGCAAAAUACUUUUGGCAUUUCAUUCCCUUCCUUUUUGUUUUUGUAGUUGCAGGAUGUGCAAAUCUAUUUUACUUGUAGUUUUAGAGGCUAAACAGAAAAAUGUGCAUGAGCAUUGUAGAUUGAUCGUGCCCUUCGUUAUAAUCACAACAUUUAGGGGAGUUGCUAGUCAUUACAUUGUCUAUUAGGGCUAUUCUGCAAAUAAUUUGCUAUCAUUUUGUAUCAACAAAAUGCUAAUGGUACAUCUUUUUCUAAUUUCCAGUAUCUAUUCUUUCGAAUGAGUGAUCUUUUUGCAAGUUCAGAUGCACUAGAAUUCUCAAGAAUAACCGAGUAUGUUUUAUCAUUGUUAUUGUACUCUAUAUUGAGUAGCGAGUACAUUCCUUGUUAGAGCAUGCGGCCUUUUUUCUAUUGUGAUAUCUUGCUGAAUUCUCUUAUUAGGCGUAGUUUAGAUAUCAGAGUAAGAUAUUUAAUGAUAUCUUAUUCCGUAUGAGAAUUUUCUAUUAUCACUGAAAGCUAGGAGUGUUAUUGUGUAGAAUCGAAUAUAGUAUAUUCGACCUUCAAAUAAUUUUUUUGACAUAAGAUAAAUUAUCUUGUAAAUGAAGUAUAUUAUGCUACCAUAUUGUGGAUGUCAAGAAUUUUUAAGAAGUCGGAUAGAUGGUGUGGGGAUAAGACACUUCAGAGGUCCUUUCCGGAGGUGUAUGAGCGGAGCGAUAGCAAAACUAGGCAGGUUAAGGAGUGCGUUGAAAGAGAGGAGUGGAAUUGGAAUAGGAUUCUGGGGGAUGAGGCUCUGGGUGUGCCCGGCCUGAGCCCCUCUAUCUCGGAGCUCAAAGCGAGUGUUAGCAGGUUUCAAAUAGGGCACAGGUUGGACACGAUAGGGUGGAGAUGGGGGAGCAGCAGUUCUUUCUCAGUUAAAUCGACCUAUAGAAUGCUAAAUGAUGGGGGUACGGUGGACGGACGUGUCAACAAGAUAUGGAGGCUCCGAAUACCACUUAAGGUCAAAGUAUUCUGUUGGCUAGUUCUUAAGAAAAGAACUCCUACAGCUGAGAUCCUUGUUAAGAGAGGAUGGACUGGGGACAUGGCCUGUGUAUUGUGCAGGAUACAUGCCGAGUCAGUGGACCAUCUAUUCACCUAAUGCAUCUUCCUUAAGUUUUUUAUGGUAAUAGGCCUUGAGGACGUCCAGGCGGGGGAUUUGGGUGACGAUGUGCACGUAGUCUGGAAUAGGUGGAAGGGGGGGAACGGGGGGGCAGAAUAGAAAAAAGGGACUAGCCGAGUUAGCUGCAUGCUGAUGAAGCAUCUGGAAGGUCAGGAACAACCUUAUCUUUCGUGACAUUCUGCUGGAUUCCGUGCUAGAGGUGCAAAGGCUCAAGCAGCUUAUCAUUUCUUGGAAAGAUCUCUUAUGAUUUUUUUUUUUUCCUUGUACGUUCAGGUGUUUUUCUCGUGUUUUCCGAAGCCCUGGCUGCCUCAUCCUUGUAGUCUAAUUCAUACUUUUAAUGAAUGAAGCAAGUAGCGUGCUACCUAUUCUCUCUAAAAAAAAAAAGAAAAAACUAGGCCUUUGCCUUCUAUUUAUAUAAGAAAAUUUUUAUACCGAAUAAAUUAUUAUAAGAUAACUUAUUUUGCCAUUCAAAUAAGUUCUUAUUGUCUAACUUGUUUUUGUUCGGAUCACGGGCUUGUAUUGUAGUUAUGAAUUUAAAUGAACUAUAAACUUGAUGGUCACUCAAUCAAGAACCUUCUAGGCUUCUAUAUCGAAUGAGUGUGAGAUUUUGGAUAUGAAUGGGAAGUCGAUUAGUUUAAUAAUUUGCAGACUUACGUAGGCUUUCAAGAUGUUGAGAGAGAGAGAGAGAGAGAGAGAGAGAGAGAGAGAGAGUGAAUGCGUGUAUGUAUUUGUCAUUAUAUUUUCGAGCAAUCAAGCAGCACAAGAAGAGUUGGUUUUUCUCUCUUUCUACUUGUUUCUAUCUUCCUUUUAUUCUGCAAUCAUCAGAUAGAAAAUUUAUUCCCCUUUCGGUAGGACUUUCGCUCUGUUCAAACUGAGAUCCAUUUUUAGGGUUCUCGUGUCAAGUCAUCCAUCUAUUCCUGAUGUCAAAGUUUUCUGAUUUGAGUAGUUAAGUUGGAUUUGAGUUUUAAAUACUUGGUUAGGCAGCUGGGAGCUUCAGUUGGAAUUUAUGUGAUCAGUUCGACCUAACACCGAGUCGAAGCAGCAGCCGAGGGACAACUUAUGGAAACGUUUCUAAUUACCUCUAGUCAACAAGCUAUAUCCUUGAUGGCAGUUGGGGUAUAGUCAUUUAAACUGUGUGAAUCCUAAAGUUGCUACGUUCACCAUUUCAUUGAGUAAUUAGAUUGGUUGUUCCCGUAAAUAGAUUGCAGUGUAGCUGAAUUACUGGCGCUCCCAUUAAUAAGCUAUCCUGCUGGCCCAUUCCAAAAGAAUGAAUGAGGCAGUCAGGCUUCUGGAGGAAGCUUAUUAAUUUGAUAAAAAAGCCUCUUUUUUUAUGUUUUCGUUUCAUUUUUUUGAGAGAGGUAGCAGACCAUCUUCUUUUUCUUUUUUUGAGAAAUAAAUGGCUAUUUAUUAGUGCAAGCGAAUAAAUAAGUGGAUAAAUACAAGCAAAAAGUUUAGUGGGUAUCGAUGUUCUAAAGAAUCUACUUUUUAAAUAUGAAUCGAGAGUUGGAUGGCAUCCGCAUAAGAAAUUAUAUAGCUCUUUUUAGCUUCCCGGUGGACUCUGAUCAGCUUGAUAAAGUACACAUCUAACUUGCUAGAAAUUUACAGGCCCAUACGGUACUUUUCAUUUUUUAUUGACAAAAAGAUCAGACUGAAUGGGCCGAAAAGGAGAGGAAGCCAAGUGGUGAGUGGAGUGGAGCUGAUAAUAAACUGUUAUGAAACUUUUAAACUGACUAAUCAGAAGCAUUAGUGGUGAAGUCUCCAUGAUUUCAGGAAUUCACUAACGUAACAACUUCACCUAGUACGAUGGGCUGCGCACGACAGAUCGAUAAAGCCCGAUAAAAAUCCUUCACAUGGGUGCAAAUUAUUCAGUUCCCGAUAGGAAUCUCCACAUCUGUUCAAACGAUCCCGUUCCCACGUUUCGGUACUACACGUCUUUACUAUAAAUCUUAUAUCAAAAGGUCCACGAAGAGACAUUAUUUAUCUAUUUUAUAAACCCACAUGCGCACCUUAUUAAUUUAUUGGCUAGCUUCUGAUAGCUCCAAGGACAAGGCAUGCACGCAUAAACAAGAAGAUAAAAUCGUGGCCUAUCAAUAACCCCAAACAUUGACCACCCUGCACACGAUCAGUUAGUCAUGAUAGUUUAAUAGCGUCUAAACUAUGCACACCGCACUAAUCUGACCGUCCCUAGCACAAAUAGCAAAGGAGUUGGUGGUUGAUAUUCAAGACUCAAAUUCGAAUUCUAAUUGAUUCACAUUUUCAGCUAAAUUUAUUUCUAAAUAAAAUAAACGAAGCGAGUAACAUGCUAACUUUCUCAUAAAUAUAUAAAUAUAUAUAUAUAAAUAUUGUGCACACCCGCGAGAGAAAGAGAGGUUGAAAACAAGGAAAAACAGAAAAAAGCUCACCAAUCCAAGCCGUAAUAGUAGCAGUAUAUAACCACACCAAGUAUCCAGUACACGGAGAUCGCCACAGUAGUAGCAGUAGUACAUCACCAACAUGCAUAUACGUACACGCACGGAACGAUACAAUGCAUCCCAUAAAAUAUGCGUGCACUCUACUAGUGCAACUAGUGCUGCUUAUUCUUUACUAAUGCCACUCCUAAUUAAGUAAGAACUGGUGGCGGUGGGGCCUGCACGAAACCUAGCUAGUGGGUGGCAGGGUGGGCCCCAGCGCCCCACGGGUUUAGUUGAGGCCCGGUUGGUGGGGAGGCUUGUCGACGUCCUCGAGGGGGCGGAACCACACCUCCUGGUCCAGCACCGUCGACCCGCCACCAUCCCCCGCCGCCACAGCAGCUGCGUUGCCCGGCCCGUCCUUCGUUCCCGCGGUGGCGGUGGCGGCGGCGGCGGGCCCAAAAACGCCUGUCGUAGGGUGCGGGCCCCAGUACUUUUCCGACUCACAAGUUUCGAUCACAUGGUCCGGCACCACCACCGGGUGCACCAGAUCCUCCUCCACGUUCUUGUCGUACGAUGACGAGUACACUGCCCUCCUGCACAUAAUACUUAAUUUUUAUUAAAAAUAAUUAAAUUCUAAAUAUUUGGACCAAGGGUUAAUGCAAUCUUUCAGCCCUCUUAAGGUUUGUACCAUUAUUAGCAUUUCUCAUCUUAAAAUAAUUUGGACGGACAAAAGAGCAAUGAUACUUCUGUAAUCACUUUUUGAUGAUAACUCUAUAACUCUAAAUUACAAAAAUCCAUAAUUAUUUUACUAGUUUUUAUCAACUUUUUUUUACUACCAAAACAAUAAUAAAAAAUAUAUAUUACCGCCGAUCGUUCCUGGCGCAAGUGACAAAGAAUUUAUUGAUUGGUAUUUGAGAUUUCAAGUUCGAAUUUUAAUGGAUUCAUAUUUUUCGCUAAGUUCAAUAUCCAAAAUUUCAAAUUUAAAUUCUAAUUAAUUCACAUUUCAGCUAAAUUUACUUUUUAAAAAAAUAAACUUAGCGUUAGCAUACUACUUUACAGAGGGAGAGGAAGCUGUUUUGUCCUAUGAGAAAAAUUCUAGAAUGCAACGGGUAUAUUAGUGACGUGACGUAACAAACUAAUCAAAUUAAUCUUUUUAAAAAUAUAUGUUCCAUCAUGAUUAUAAAAAAAUAUUUGUAUUAUACUUUUGUUUAAAAAAAAAAAUAAUUAAUUUGUUAUUGAUAACGUGGUGCAAAUUGUGACAGUGUAGAAUUUCUCGUCCUAUGGGGCCAGCAGGGGCAUUUUCGAAAUAAAUAUUCGUCGGAGAACAUCGGGGCAGGCGCCAAGAACGUGACUGGAACUGGAAAUCGAGAUGGAUAAGAGCAAAUCUCACUCGUACGCGUGGCCUCCGAUGGAGCCGAUGGAGAGACCAAAAUGCCUCCUCGAUAGAGGACGAGAAAGGUUGGUGACUACCAGACGAUCAGGGCCGUUGCUUCUGCCUGUAGGACCGCAAGUACCCAUCUCACGGCUCGCGUCUUAGUCAUCGGUGCGCCUCUUAAACGGAGGGAAAGAAUCGUACGGCAGACAUGGUCCACCUCAAAAAUGCGUGCGGGGUAAUCGAGGGGGCACACAAAUCCACCGUCCAAUCAGCCUCCAAAUGAAAUCAGGAUCGUCAAUUAACGGACGGCACGAUCAAUCACCCGAGAGGUUAAAGCGACGGGGCGUGUUCCCUCUCCGGAUACCUCCUAGUGAACUCCCCCAGUGUUUUUCUUUUCUUUUUUUUUCUUCUGUCGUUUUGUGACUGCUCUCUCUCCAGGGAGUGCGAAAGAAAAGGAAAGAAAAGACGGAAAAGAGUACAAAGAAGGGGAAAACCAGUACGGAGACAAAACAAGGACGAAAAUAUCUCUGAGAAUUAGUAGAGAUGGCAAAAUUAGUGCGGAUAAAGAAACAAAGGACUUUGUGUGGGAAAUAUCAUCGCCACACACUGAAAAAUAAAAAAAAAUAAAGGAAAAGACAGGGAGGGUGGGGGGAGGGGGGGAAGGGGGAGUAAAAGAACUCUACUGGAGAUGUCCUUACAGAGUUGCAUUGCAUCUCUGGUAAAACAGAAUAGAUCCCCUCGAAAUUUCAACUCUAAGAUCCACAAAAGCAAGAGAACCUCAGAAAAAGGAAAACUAAUUGAUAUAUAUCACUGCUUAUAGUUGAUACUUAGACUGUGGAAGCAAUCAUGGUAAUAGCACCGAUCGCUAAAACAAACAUAACAGCUAACACAUCAAGAAGCAAAAAUCACCAAAUAAUUUCACAACAUCAGAUGCUUAAAAAAAAAAUAAAAAAAACCUACAACCAGUUAUACCAGUGCUUAAUUAGCAUAUAUUGAUCCAUGCGACUAAAAGCAACUAAUAUAUUAAUUAGCAGCGAUCAGUAGAGCAAAUCUAAGAAUUAACACACGGAGAGCAGCUAAAAAAAUCGGUUGAUCUCAUGAGAUCAUAACAAAUGCUGAGCAAUUAGGAGGUGUACCUUGAAUCCGACGCGGCAGAAACCGCGAUCGGAGAAGGAUUUCGAGAGGCCCAGAUCUGGUUCACAAAUCGCUUCCCGAAGCUUCCCGCGAUCGCUCGCCCCUUCGAAUUAGCGGCCAUGCAAAAGAAAGGAGUGAAAAUAGCAAAGCGAGAGGGAGAGAGAGAAGGAAAGCAAAAGCGAAAACGAAAAGGAAUGGGAUAGAGAAUGAGCCCUUUUCCAUUGGUAGCAGCCGCUAUUUAUAGCCUCGCCCACACUCGCUCCAACCGCCCACCUACCCGCCCCGUUUACUACGCCGUUAACGUUUUCCGUCCCUUCUAUUGACGGCGCUCCUAACGGCGUUAGCGCGGAGGCAAGCCACGUGAGUGGAGGUGGAGCGAAUAAUUUGGAGCAUAUUCUACACAGUUCGAAGCGUCCCUCCAGAUACUAUUGGUCUCCUGCUAGUGUAUGAAAUUUACCAAAACGCCCCGCGAUGUUUGGUCUCGUCACUGGCACGGUGAUACACUGAUCAUGUAGCUAAACUAAACGACAAAAAUAAACAGUUACAGUUACGGUGAAAUAAGUAUGUCCUAACCUUAAUCUCAGCUUCAAAGCUAUAAAAUAAAUUGGCAUUGUGAAUCUGUGAUUAUUAUUUACUUAUUAUUAUUAAAAACGAUUGAUCUCAGGCUCUUAAACGAGAGUAAGAGAUACCUAUCAACUUUCGCGGCAGCGGGGACAAGCUUUACAAUGUGGUUCAGUAGUCCAAAUGCUAAGUACUCAUAAUGAUAAGUUUAUGCUGCCAUUGGCAUCUAGCACGAGAAAAGUUAUUCAUUCAUUGGAUUAGUAUGCAUUUGUUCUCCAAGGCACGGUCAGAUAAGAGAAGAAUGAGGGGUCACCUCUCACUUUAUAUCCACAAAUCAAGUACUAAGGGUGGGAACACACUGUACGUUCCCACCCUUCCUAAGGGAUAUUUAAAUUAACGAAUUUGUAGAUCUAACGUAACUCAAGUGCAGUUGUGUUUGAAAUUUUUUAAAGGUGAUUAUUUUUUUAUUGUUUAUUUUAAUGUAACUCGUAAAUUUUGAUACUUAAAUUCAAUUACUUUCUUUGUUUAUUUUGAUAUAACUUGGUUUUGAUGAAAUUAGUUUUUUAAAUUUUAUUGUUUAUUUUGAUAUAAGUAAGUGGAUAUAAGUAAUUGAAUUUUGAUAUAAGUAAGUGGAUUUCGUUAUUUCAUAAAUAUAGUGGUAGAUUUAUUGCUAUAAAAUUUAACCUAUUAAAUAAUUAAAAUUUUUAUUAUUAUUUAAAAGUAAUCCUAAUUUAUUAUAAAUAAAGUAAUUCUAACCCAUUAUAAAGGAAGUAGAGUUUAGGUUUUACUAUUUAAUAAAUUUUUUAAAAAAAUUGAGUGUGGCGGAAAUCGAGCUCGGCACUUUAGAAGGAGAAGUCGAGAGUAGGUAAAUUGAAGGUUUAACGUAACUUGAGUUACACUAUAUUUUUAACUUAUACCAAAAUAAAUACCAAAAGUAAUGAAACGUAAGUUUCAUCCCUCCACUUGUACCAAAACAAAUAGCCCUUAAAGUGUAGGGGUGGGAAUAACAGUUCUAACCGCUAUUUUUAUUUUCAAAAUUUAAAAUUUAAAAAAUAUUUUUUAUUUUUUUAUUUUAAAAAUUUAUAAUUUGUAAUUUCAAAAUUUAAUUUUAGAUUAUAAAAUUUACAAGUUAAAAUUUUAAAUUUAAAAACAUAAAUAUAAAAUUUAACAAUUCAAAUUCAAAUAUAAUAAAAGGUUAAUAUCAUUAUUUUUUAUUUAUAACUAUUCACAAUUUUUUUUAUUUCAUCUUCUCUAUCCAAAUACUAUUUUUCUUAUUCUCAGAAACAACCUAAUUUUUAUUCAAACACAAAAUUAGUUUAAUUCUUAUUUAUACAUGUAUUUAAUUAUACCUAUCUUUGAAAUAAGCAAUUUUUACUUAUUCUCAAAUGGAACAACGCCCAAUUGUAUUAUUUGUUGGUUUUAGACUAAAUAUGUGAGUGUGGUAUUAGAAAAAUUGAAAAUUUUAAGUUGAUUUUCUUUGUUCCAAAAAACGGAAGAGUUUAUUUGGAGUGUUUUAACUUUAGAAACUUCUUUUUGUACUGUUGUAAUGGAAUCCUCCUAUCUUUUUGUAUUAUUGAAAAGUCUUUUCAGAAUGACUAUUGCCAAAAAUAGAGGAAUAUAUACUAAAGUGAUACUCGACAUUGCGUGAGGAAAUUAAGACCAAUGACUAGUUGUUUGCUUUGUCCAGCUUGCAACGGUAUAAUUUCUUCAUCUUUCUAAGUUAACUGUAGAGAUAUACAUUUUCUUUAGAUAUGUGCUACAUCCAUGCUCAAAUUUGUGUAAUUCAUUUGAAAUUGUAUAUAAUAUUCGACUGCAAUUAUUAUUGUGUCAUCAAUUACUACUAGAAUCAAGACUAGCAGCUUUGAAUAGAAUUGUUAGAGGGAGUCCUAAUAAUUUAUUCUUUAAGCAUGCUUCUAUUUGAGCUACAUUCCUGAACUUUUAAAAACGGAAAACUGCGACCAUCUCUUUUGUAACUGCAUCUUCUUCAGAUUCCUACUACUCUGUAUCGAUGAACUGGAGACACCUGAGCACACCACGAGUGAUGUCCGAAAUCUCUAGAUCGGAGCUUCAGCCAACCCCAUCAAGUCGAAGAGGUCAGUUUGCUUGACCCUUCUGGCAGCGAUCUGGUGGGUGGUCUGGAGGGAUAGAAAUCACUCUAUCUUUCGUGGAUCGGUACCCAACGCUUCUCGUUCGCUAGAGUGUGUCAAACUACUCAUGAGUAGCUGGUCAGCCGUGCUGUAAAGUGCUCCUUACUUUCUUUUCUUAUUUUCUUUAUUUCUUUUCUUUCCCUGCCUCCGCCCUUAUCUUUUGCUUGUCACCCCCCCUCCAUUUUUUUGCCUGUAUCUCGGAAGUCUUAGCUACUUCCAACAUGUACGCUCAGUUCAUUUAACUUAAUGAAUGAAGCAGGUAACUUGCUACCUAUUUCUCAAAAAAAAAAAAAAAAGCUGUAUUUUCUGAAUUAUCGUACUGCUGUAAAAUAACAAAGGAAAAAUUAUGUUAUACUUAGUUCUAGAAGUAUUUUUUAUAUUUUCCCCCAGCUUCUUUUUCUUUGGUUUUUUCUGAAAAAAAAUCCACCUAUAAGGUCCUUUUCUAAAUUAUGUCAGCACUUUCCAGAAAAAUCAAGAGUCCGUGCCAAGAGAAUUUGUUGGAAAAAGAAUUAAAUAAUUACUCACGAAAAUAUAAAUUUUUUUUUUGAGAUGUAGGUAGCACGCUACCCGCUUAAUUUAUUUCAUUUAGAAAUAAAUUUAGUUCGAAAUGUGAAUCAAUUAGAAUUCGAACUUGAGUCUCAGGUAUCAACUAUCAAAUUCUUUGCCGCUUGCUCUAGAAACGAUCGGUCUCACAAAAAUAUAAUUAUUAUCUUCUUUAAAAUAAGUUGUUCGCCUAUGACUAUUUUUCUAUUAUCUUCUCAGUAAGUACUCAGCUUGUACCAAGAGAAGUACUUCUAUAUAGCUUUCUAAUGGUAUUUUAGCUAAAAAGAUUAAAAAAACAAAAUACCAGUGCAUUAUUCAAAUUAUUAUUGAUUAGUUAUAUUUUACAGUACAUUAAUGUUCAUCUUAUAUUAUUAUUAUAUAUAUAUAUUUUUUUCUUUAGGACCUGGCUUGGGAGGAAUUCUACACUGUCAUACUUGCACCACGUCAUCAAUAACAAGCCAAUCAUAUUCAUUCUUUUCAAACAAAAGUACAAUAAAAAUACUUUUUUACAAUCAUGAUGGGACAUAUAUUCUUAAAAGGAUUAAUUUGAUUGAUUUGUUACGCCACGUCACUAAUAUACCCGUUGCAUUCUAGAAUUUUUCCUGACUUGGGGCCGGUGGAAAGAUUGUUUCUGUUCAUUAAAAUUUAUAAACUUUUUUUUAGUUUAUUAUUUUAUGUUCAAAAGAAGAAUUAAAAUAAGACUAUAAAGACAAAUCAGAAAGCGCCACGCAACUUUCUCGGCGCCAUUCAAUUGUCAGAUGUUUACUUGAAUCAAGUUCCUGUCAAUGUCGCACACUUACAUUCAAUGGGAGAUUUUUUUGGCCCGCUCAAUAAUUUUUUAUCAUUAAAAAUUGAUAUAAUCAACUAUAAUUAACUUUAGUAUCCUCCACAUGACCACAUGUCAGAGUUUGAUGGGCAUUUAAUACCACAUCGUCUAAGAGUUGAUUAACAUGGAUUAGUCACUGCUAAUCAGCAACGUCCGUGGUUAUUAAUUAAUAGCAAGGAAUAAAGUUUGUGGUUAAAAAAAAAAAAAAACGAAACUUUCCAUUAGAUGAAAUAUCUAUAGAGGUUUCAAAUUGAAGUACUUACUUGGUGUAAUUGGAAAUAAAAAAAUACAAAUUAAUUAAGUAGAAAAGGAAACAAUUUUAGAGAUUUCACGCAAGAUUUCAAAUCUAUUAGGGUGAAAAACCAAAUCCAGUUUAGAUUCUACCUCUCUUUAUCCCACUUCUGGAAAGACCCACUAAGGAAGGUAAAUGGCUCCUUAGUUCUUAAAAAAAAUAGUAUGAACAAAAAUUAAUAAAACAGUUUUUUAUGAUUUUUUUUUUCCAAUUUUUCAUCCUGUAAGUUCUAAAAAAAUUAUUUUUUUAAUGUAUAUUUUUUUCAUAUUUCAUUAGAAACUAAUAUUUUUGUUUUCUGAAAAACAAAAUGCAAAACAAAAACGAUAAUUUUUCACAAAAUUUAGAAAAAAAAUUUAAAAUAGGUUUUCUUUAAUACCAAACGAGCAAAAAAAAUUUUCAGGAAAUAAUUUUUUUUCAUACUAUUUUUAGGAAUCAAAUGGCACUUGGAAAGCACCAACAUCCAUCAUCUUAUCCAACAAAAUGAAACUUUGUUGACAUAUUGGAGUUUGGAGAUCCGGUAACAAAGUAAAAUAUGUGCAAUAAAGUCUUAAAAAUAUCAACUUCCAUCUAGAACCUUUCGUUCGGCUCAAAAAACAUUAUGUUUGGAUGGAUUGCGAUAACAAUAGCUCAAUCCUGCUACAAUCGAUACCGCAAAUAUUUUUUUUAUAGACGGAUACUAUAUCCUACUGUAGAACUAAAACUUUUUUCUCAUUCUCGCAGGACAACUCAUGUUCAAGAAUUAAUAGACAAAAGGCUAAAAAAUCUAAAAAAAAUGUUCACGGAAUUAGAUUAGUUUUUCAUCCCAGAAUAUAUUUGUGACGUGAGAGAUCGCACAGAUUAAUGGUCAAAUGUAGAAAACGAAACAAGAAAUAUAUAAUUGCAUUCCUUUUGAAUCGCCCUGGUCCCAAAAUCUACGGAGUAUGGCGUGGCGUGGCAUAGCGUGGCGUGCGCGAUGUGUUCGGAGAAUUGACCCAGUGAGUUGGUUGGACAUAAAAGAUGAUAAGGUUAGGAAAAUGGCUGUGCCGGACCAUAUGACUGGGAGUACUUACUCGACCCGAGAUGUUACCAUCCUCCUCGCAUGCACAUACUGUUACGAACUAAGGACCUGGGAUAAGGUUCAUUGCCAUAUUAUUUUCUGAGAAUUUUAUUUUACGUUUGAUCAUUGAUGAUAUCACUCGCGAUGUGUGCGAAAGAAUUGACCCAUUGAGUUGGUUGGACACAAAGAAUGAUAAGGUUAGAAAAAUAGCCGUGCCGGACCGUACGACGGAGAGUACUUACUCCACCCGAGAUGUUACCGUCCUCCUCGCAUGCACAUAUUGUUACCAACUACGAAUCUGGGGCAGGCUUCGUUACCAUAUUAUUUUUCUGAAAAUUUUAUUUUGCGUUUGAUCAUUAUUGAUGACAUCACUCGUGAUGUGUUUGGAGAAUUGACCCGUUGAGUUGGUUGGACAUAAAAGAUGAUAAGGUGCCGGACUGUAUGACGAGGAGUACUUACUCGACCCGAGAUGUCUCCGUCCUCCUGGAGUGCGCAUAUUGCUACGAUCUAAGGAUCUGGGAUAUGCUCCAUUGUCCUAUUAUUUCCUGAUAACUUUAUUUUGCAUUUGAUCAUUGAUGACAUUACUCGUCAGGUCAAAUCUUGUAUGAAAGUAUGAGAUUUUAAAAUAUCCUUUGGCAUUAUUUUAAUUUUUUAAUGCUUUUAACCAGGGCUCUUUUGAUAGAUGUUGCCUCUUUUUAAAUUAUUUUAAACACUAAUUAUAUAUAGUUUAAUAUAUAUAUAUAGAGUUGAGCUGAAAUACUAUCGGCAGCAAACGGGUUUCGUUGCCACCCAUUUAUUUUCGAAGAUGAAGCCUCCAAAUCGACGAUCAGUAUUGUUGACAAUGAUCUAUACCACUUGAAGUAUCUAGAAAUCAAAUUUCAUAUUUUUUCAAUAUUGUUCUCUUGUUCAUCAAGUGGGCGUAAAAAUGAAUUGCUGAAAAUAAAUAUCUUCUAAAAAGUGAUGAUAGGAAUUUUGUAAUCAAGAUCAAGAGUAUAGAUCUUAUUCUAAAUAGUUUAAAAAAUUUUAUACCAAAAUUCAAUUGAUUUGGAUAGCUUUACACCGUUAAACGAGAAAACGCCUCAUAUCAACCCUUAAAAUUAUAAAUUUUGAAACUCUUUGAUCAUUAGGCCAAUAAUGUCGAGAAGAUUUGAAAUUUGAUUUCUAGAUACUUCAAGUGAUAUAGAUCAUGUUCAACGGUACCGAUCGUCGAUUUGAAAGCUCCAUCAUCGAAAACAAAUGUGUAGCAACGGAGCCCGUUUGCUACCGAUAGCAUUCCAGCUCAACUAUAUAUAUAUAUUUGCCAUUGUCCAUUAGCUUACAAUGGUUUCUAGUUAAAAGAUGAAUAAUAAUUUAUUUAAAAUUAUUAAAAUAAAAUUUUUUUUUUUUGUCAAAUAAAUAACUUGUAUGUAAGAAUUGUGAGAAAUUAUCAUCCCUUCUCACAGAAAUUAUAUGUAAAAUUUAUAUUUUGGAAAAAUAAAAAAAUAGAAAUAACGUCAAACGAAGCGUUAAUUAAAAUUUUGAUAAUACACGUGAUGUAAUGAAAUGUGCCCGGUGUAUGCCUCACAUGAAAUAUCACCAAAAUCAUGGUGUCGCUAAAAAAAAAAAAAAAAAAAAAAAAAAAAAAAAAAAAAAAAAAAAAAAAAAAAAUCACCUAGUCGCCAACAAAGCGCAUAACGUGCCGGGCCUGGCCCUCACUCCUCUUUGGAAACCCCACUUAGGACAUGAUCCGGCCCGUAAAGAGAAAGGCCUAAAAUCAAAACGGGUCAGGUCCGGUCCGGGCCGGGCGCGGACUCUUCAUCUUAAACCCUUCUCCGCUUCUCCCUCACUCGAUACUCCGAUGCAUCAAACCCCUUACACGGGGCGCCCGACACCCUCCUCCGCCACCGCGCCUCGUGCCAUUCCAGGUACAAAAAUUCAAAGCAUAACAAAAUAAAAUAUGGUUCACAUAUGUAGAUCUAAAUAAUCACAAAGUAUUAUUCUUUUGAUUUCGAUAUUCAGAGGUAGAGAGGGAAUUACUUCUUUUGCAAGUUCAUAUAUAGUUAUAUAUGUGUAUAUUUUUUGGUGAUAUAAGCCCUGAUUCAAGUCAAUUUAGAAAUUCGCAGCUACCAGGUAGAAAUCUUGCUUCGAUCAUCAAUUGGACGCUUUUCAUAUUCACCACAUAUAGAAAAAAAGAGAAAGGUAAAGUUUCUAUAUAAUCAAAUAUUCAUAUGUUAUGUUUGGGGCAAUUCAACAAACAUCUUAUAAGCGUAAAAUCCAGAGUGUAAGUGCUCUGCAUGAGAGAUCGUCGGAGCUGUUAAUUAGCAUGUUCGAAAUUAUAUGUUGUAGGUUAUGGUGCAACCACUAGCGGUCGACUCAAAAAUGCUCGGUUCUAGCUUGUUUUGCGCUCAAAAUGAUUUGGCCGCAGGUCUAGCCUGGCCUGAAUCAGGCUCGGCAAUGGGGACUUCGGGCCAGCCUAGAUCGGUUAGCACCUCCAAUUGGUGCUAUAAUACACAACCAUUGACAGCAACACAAUUUGGCGACCAGGAUCUGGGCUCUCGUUAUUCCACACAUCAAUUUGAUGAUCUGGCGAGCUUGCUUGACAAUAACACGCGAGCAUCAACAGUUGGAGAAUCCUUCGCUCACAAAUCUUAUCUCCCUAGCCCUUGUUUGGUUGGGGAUUAAGGGGUGGAAUAAUCCCUUAACCCCCAUUUUAUCCCUAAACACCCUCAAAAAUAGAUGAGGUUAGCUAACCCCACCUCAAAUAAAUUAUCCCGGAUUAGCUAACUUCACCUAACCCCACCAAACUCCAACCAAACACUAUUUUCUAUUCAUAAUAAUUCACUAUCUUUCUUAUCACACCUACUCCAACCAAUCAUUAUCCUUCUUUAUCAAUCAUUAUCUUUUUAUCUCACCUACUCCAACCAAACACUAAUUUUUCAUUAUUCUAGACUAACUCCAACCCCCAAUCAAACACAAAAAAAUUUUAACCCCACUUUAACCAUGAACUUAAUUCUAUCCCUGGAAUAUCUACUUUUUCCUUAACCCCGAACCAAACGGAGGCCUAAGGACUAUAUCAUGGAUGGCGGGCUAGGUCUAGUGGUCCAACAGUCCUUAGAAAUGGCAGUGGCUAAAAGCCAGGGGACUAGUCAAAAUUCUAAUUGUCAACCUAAAACUGCGUCUUUAUCUAACUUAACUGAAGUUUUGCUUAAUGAAGUGUAUGAAGAGCAGAAAGCAAUCAGUUCUUUGCCACAACAACCCUUGCAGAAGCAGGGAAAUCAAUCGAAAUGUUCGUUAAAUGAUGACGGCAGACCAUUUCCCUCAGAUAGUUCUCCUGGAACAUAGGGUUUGCUGGGUCGAAUUUCUUUAGUACAUAAUCGGUUUAGAGUUUUUCAGUACAUAGUCGGUUUUUUAGUACAUAUCAUCACAGUUAUUCUUAGCUUCAAGUUAGAUUGUUAAUUCAUAGUACCUUUGCUUACAGGCUCAAUUAUUCUGAGGUGGCAAUUAGCCUUGUUCGCUUUCCAUCGUUUGAAAAGAUUGUCAUAUUUUCUUUCUUUUUCUUUGUAUCAAUGUCAGAACCAUGUACAAAAGAUUCGAUCCAUUUCUACUUGGAGCAUCGUUUGAUGGGUCCUGUUAGUUAUUUUACAUCAGAUUGCUCCACAAACUAGUUUCAUACCAUUUACGGUUUCUAACAUGCAGACCACACAAGUUUUAUCUCUCACUAGGAAGUACUCCUAUGAUAUGCCAGAUACUGCCAAAAAAAAACAAGUGAAAACUUAACCGGUUCGCUACAAAGCAUACCUCUUAUUCUCUUAUAGACGAUAAUCUCAUGACAUAUAUGGCCAAGUUAUGAAACGACGAAAUAAAUACAAUACAUAACAAGUAUGCAACAAAUUACCGAGGAAAAUCCAUAGACAAUAGCAGAGCGUCCUCCAGACUGUCCUGUUGUGAAUUGCUGCAACAUAAAGCUGAAGGCUCAUCCGCCGAGAUUUCUUUCUGAAUUUGGCUUUGCGGCGGUAUGUUAAGCUUCUCUUGACUCUUCUCAGCUGAGUGCUGCUUCAUAAGCCUUCUCAGUGCAUCAAGCUCGACCAACACUUCCUUCAUCUUCGGCCUCUCUUCCCCUUUAAUUCUCAAACACCUCAGCGCCACCUUUGCGAUUUCAUUAAGAUGCCUCACCCCUGCUUCCUUCACCACCCUCUGAUCCAACAUCUCCAGUAGCCGAUUCUGUUCAACCAACAUAGUGAAAUGCGAGGCUAGGUUCCUCCCUUCCUCCGACCGACAAAAAGAAAUAGGCAUCUCUCGCGUCAAUAUCUCAAUGAGUACCACACCGAAGCUAUACACAUCGCUCUUAUCUGUUAAAAGGCUCGUGCUGAAGUACUCUGGGUCCAAGUAUCCUAGGGUCCCUUGAACAACUGUGGUGAUAUGAGUUUGAUCAUAGGGCACUAACCUCGAAGCCCCAAAAUCUGAUACCUUUGCAUUGUAGCAUUCGUCAAGAAGUAUGUUAGCCGACUUGACAUCUCUGUGAAUGAUUGGUACUUUCGUAGCUGAGUGCAGAUACGCGAGCGAUGCUGCUGUCUCAACGGCUAUUCUUAAUCGAUCCUCCCAUGGCAUUGGGGCCGUUUGGUUACUGUGAAGAUGAUUAAAAAGUGUUCCAUUUGAAAUAAAUUCGUAGACUAGUAAGGGAACCUGGGUCUCUAAACAACAUCCCAGUAGUUUGACAACAUUCCUGUGAUUGAUCUGAGAGAGGAUGACCACUUCAUUCACGAAUUGCUCGAUUUGCGUCUGAUCAACCAUCUUUGAUUUCUUGAUGGCCACAACAGUUUGAUCGGAGAGCACUCCUUUGUACACAGUUCCAUAUCCUCCUCGACCGAGAAUCCGAUCCUUGCUGAAAUUAUCAGUUGCCUUUCUGAGUUCUUCAGAAGUAAAUAUUCUUGCCGGUGCUUUCUGUGAGAAGAUUUGUUGUUGUAACAUUAAGCCGCCAUUUUGGAGGAAAAAUUUCUGCCUAAGCUUUGUUUGCUUCCUUUUCUUCCGAAACCACUCAGCCCAGAAGCCUAGUGCGAGCAAAACAGCCAAUAGACCUAGUCCUGCAACUGCACAGGCACUGCAGAUUCUGAAUCCCACAACACAAACACUAGGAAAGAAUUAAAAUUAAAUUGAUAAAUUAUUUAAGUGCGACUAAAAGUAAAUUCAGUUCCUCAUCAGAGGAAAAGCUGCAGAGUUUUUGGUCGUCGUAUAUCUCUAAUUUACUAAAAAGCUUCUGCUUUCUUGCUCCAGAAAUGCGCCGGAACAGACACUUGGGUAUAACAAAAUCCCAAUGCUAGUUAAUGGUUACCUAGCCCAAUAGCUAGGGGCGCCAACCCCUCGCAGCCGGAGCCCGCCCUCAGCCCGUCGCCGCUGAUUCCGAAGGGACAAGUGCAGUUGAAUCCUCCCACCGUAUUGAUGCAUUUAUGAACGCAAGGGUUCGUUUUUGGAUCCGCGCACUCGUCGAUGUCUGUCAUGCAUUUCACAAACCAUAAAGUAGAUGAGCAAAAAAAUUAAUUAUUUAUUCGUCACAACUUCAAUUUUCCACCGUAAAGCGAGCGAGAGAAGAGAAGAAACAACGCUAAAACUAUGGUUUCCUCCGCAGAGCAGCAGGUAUUAUUGGUUAAAAAGCAGAUCAAUAAUACCUUGGCAUCCACCUUCCGUUUCUUCCAGGUAAGGGUUCCCCCGGAACCCUCGGGAGCAGUUGCAGCGAUACCCGAUGCCGUUUGUCGAGUCGUAGCAGUAGCUGCUCCCCUUGCACGCGUAGUCGUCGUCGAACUCUCCUCCUCUUUUCCCUGUCACCUCGGCGCAAGUCUCCUCCCCUAUCGACCACUCCAGCACCAUCGGCCUGUACUGAUCCUCCGGAUUACCGACUAAGUCCUUCUUCGAGAACGCAUAGUAGUCCUCGUCGACUAUGAAUGCCUUGCUACAGGGCUCCCCGGACUGGUCUUUAUGGGUGGACCCUGUGAGGCUCCUGAUGCUGGUGAAGGAGAAGUUGAGGCUCUUCAGCCCCUUGGGCAGCGAAACCUGGCAACACCCGACGCCGGAGCAUGCGCCGGAGACGAUGCUGUCGUUCGUCGCGCAGAAGGAGACGCACCCACCGCUGUACCUGUGGUUGGCGCCGCCCCCCUGCGCGAGCAUGAGGACCAUGGCGUCGCAGCCGACGGCGGUGAACUUGUUGUGGGCGUCGGAGAAGGUGUAGGGGGUGCCGCGGAGGCUGAGGCCGCGGUCGGGCGGGGGGAGGCUGGCGCCGGAGGAGUUGUCGUAGCAGCGCCACGCGACGGCGCGGCCGACGAUGCGGACGUAGCCGGAGAGGAUGGAGAUGUCGAGGACGACGUAGGGGCGGGCGGGCGCCGAGGGGAGGGAGAUGAUGGAGGAGUUGUAGCAAGGCGGAGCGUCCGGGAGAAGCGCCGAUGGGUCGAUGUAGUUGGAGGAGGAAGGCGGUGGCGAUAAUAUCCCCAGCAAUACGAGGAGGAGCAGAGAAUGGACGUGGAGAUCAGGGAGAUGAUCAGGAGGAAGACGAAAGACCAUGGCGCUUCCUUAAUUCCUUCCCCAGUAGACACUAGUCUUGAUUAGGAAGGACGAGGCGGCUGCAGCCUGCAGGCAGAGUCGGAGCUAGCGUCGGCGUCGGACUAAUGGUGGAAACGAUGGUUCGACAAUUGUCGGUAGCCAAUUGCUGGUUGUUGUUGACUCAGAGUCAACACUUUAUUUUUAUUUUAAUUUUUAAUAAUUAGUGGUUGUAUCAGAGACUCUGACUCGUUUUUAUUUUGUUUAAAUUUUUAACUCUCUCUAUUCAGUAGUGCUGCAGCUGUUUAGAAACUAUAUUGUCUGUUGUCAAUAUAUUAAUAUUUAAUAGUAUAAAAAAAAAAUUAAUUUAACUUAAAUAUAUAAUAUGUAUUUAGUAAUGAGAUUUUUUUUUUUUUUUUGAGAAAAAGAUAACACGCUAUCCGCUUCAUUCAUUGAUUAGGUGAAUUAAACUACAAGUAUGGAGCAACCAGGCUCCGAAAGAAAGAAAAAAGAAAAAAGGAAUCAAGACACGAGGAGAAGAUCCCACUCCUUCACGAAAAGCUUGAGAUUGUGGACCGCUUGCCCGGAGUUAGCUGGGAUAGUCCAAAAUAAAGAGUCGUUCCUGACCUUCCAUAUAAUCUACCAGCUGCAUCAUACUAGAACAGUAAGUCAAGAACGUUUCUUUAAAUGAUCCUUUUUGCCAAACCACCUAUCCCACUAGAACAGUAAGUCCAAAAAAAUGUAAUUUUUUUGGAAUAUAAUUUUACAUUUUCAUCUAUUUUAAAAGUGAAAAUUGAAGAACUAUGGAGAGGAGUAUCUAAUAUACAACGUGAUGAGUCUAGCCGGGAAAUAAAAUGAUCGGUGGCUGGCUUGGUUUGGGAGAAACCAAAUAAUCAUCGGAGGCAGAACAACAAACCGUGUGGGUCCUGCCGGACAUUCGAUCACUCGUUAGGGCUUCGGUUCGAGCAUUGCUUUUAACAAGCAUGAUUCAUUUCUAGAGUUUUUCUCUUUUCUUUUCGUUUUAUCUUUUUCUUUCUUUUUUUUUUUUUAGACUGUUUAGUUUAAUUCAUCAUUUUUUGAUGAAUAAAUCAGGUAAGAUGCAAUAUUUUUCUAAAAAAAUUCUCGCUACUCACAUUGAUAUGAUUAAGUGGUCAAUCUUAUUUCUAGAAUGAGUGAUAUAUAUAUGAUUUUUUUUCUUUAAAUGUAUAAAUAAAUAGCAGAACUUUUAGGCUUCGUUUGGUUUAGGAUGUAAGCGGAGAUAAUAAAAGUUAUCCCCGCUUUUCCCUGUUUAAUCAAUGUAUCUCCAUUACACUCCCACUUUUUCAGUCAAGGAAACUACAACUAUGGAGCUUCUAUGAUUGGGGAUAUCCACUGCAAUGUUUAAAGAUUUUCUACUGCACCGCUUAGUGCGAUUGGACAUUAUUGGUCGGAAUGCCGUUUCGCGAGUAAAGAAGCUGGCCAAACACUCGCUCAAUCACAAAUAAGGCAAAAUUUGGUAUGGUUUUUUUUAUUUUUUUAAUUUUUUAGAUGUUUAUUUUAUGUAAUUUGACAUAUUGAUAAAAAGAAUUUUCUUUUCUUCUCAUUGUUCGCUAGUGAUAAAUGAUAACUUAUUUAUAAAGAUUUUUUGAAACAACCAAAAUUAUUUAUUUUAAAGUUUUCACUUUUUACUACUAAAUAAAUGUUUCAGAUAUAAGGAUUGUAAGCAAUCCACCAUUUCCUUUUCCACUAUUUUAUAUAGAAAUUUUAUUUAAUAAAAAAACAGCAACAAUACCAAACAAGACUAAACAUGUAAUUUUUUGGAUUAUUAAUUAAGAUCUUUUUAUUUCUUAGGUCUAUGAUUCUUCACUAGGGACAUUUUUUUUUGGAGAAAAAAUAGCAUAUUAUUUACUUUGUUUAUUUUUUAAAAAAUAAACUUAGCUAAAAAUAUUAAUGAAGUAUAAUUCAAACUUGAAACUUUAGGUACCAAAUAUCAAGCCUCUUGUCACUUACGUUAAGAACCAUUAGUUGAUCCUAUGCUUGUAAGUACAAGUAUAGGCAUAGGGCCAAAAAUAUUGAUCCUCUGCCUACACUUCUACUUACAUCUAUAGACAAACCCCAAUGUAACAAAAAAGGCACAUCAAGCCAAGGUGGCGGUGAUAGCAGCCACACCAAUACGGGGAGGAGGAGAAGAAAUGGUCUAGAGAGAGAAAGAGAGAGAGAGAGAGAGAGAGAGAGAGAGAGAGAGAGAGAGAGGAGGACAACGAAAAAGCAUUGCGCUUCUAAUUUCCUUCCUCGAUCGCAGCAGGACUCCAAACAUUAUAGGCUUCGUUUGAUUCGGAUAUAAACAAAAACUAGCUAUUACAAAACUAGGUAUAAAUAUGGGGUAAAAAAAAUAGCAUUUUGAUAAUAAAUUGGGUUGUUAUCGGAGAUAAGAAAAAUAGUAUUUGGAUAGAUAAUAUGAAAUUAGAAAAAUAAUUGAUAGUUAUAUAUAAAAAAUAGAGCCGUUGAUAGGGAUAGUUAUACCAACUUAUUUCAAAUACCUGAGAAUUACUAUUUUUGGAUAAAAAAUUUACGUUCGGGCAUAAAAAGAGGGAUAAGAGAUUAUCCCUCAUCUUAUCCCCGAUCCAAACGCUACCUUCAGGAAGAAAGACGGAGGAUGUUCUUGAAAGAAGGCGUGGUAGUCCUGAAUAGCAGGUGAGAUUGGGGAUUUAGGAAGGAGGCUGCAGGUAGGAGUUCAUAUCCCCAAUCAUUGCUCGUUGUUUUCUCCGUCUUUUUUUUUUAUGUAGGUGUUUUUGGUGGUAUUGUCUAUUUUAUAUAUAUAGAGAGAAAGUUACGCUAGAAUAUUAUUAAUAGUAAAAAAAAUUUUUUGCUAUCAAAUUUUUAGCUCUUGAAUUAAUUAUUUUUAUUAUUUCUAAUUAUUGGAUUAAAUAUAAUAAUCCAAUGGAGACCAUGUUGGCCCAGUGGCCCUAAUCGUCUAUCAGAUUUUGAUGAUAACAAAUAAUCACGAUUAUUGGACUAAUCUCUUAUCUUGAGUCUUGUGUUUUAGAUCUCUCUAUCUUCAAAAAGGAUUCAAGAUGGACAAUAUUCUAGCACCAAGCUUCACCACUUGAAGCUGUGUUUUGCUUCUUUUGUCAAAUAGACAAGCUCACUCUCUUCACUCUUAACUUGAUUAAUAUUAUGCUUUAUAAUUAUAUAUAUAUAUAUAUAUAUAUAUAUAUAUAUAUAUAUAUGAUAACUACCAUUUUUUUUAAAAUUUUUUUGAUAUACCAAUCCUACUAUAAACAGGUAAUCACAACUCAUCAGGGCAAUCUCAACUCACCAGACUCCUAGUUUUACCGUUGGAUUCUCCCCCCCACUUAAUCCAAAGAUUUUAUUUUUAGGUUUAUUAGUUCGUUUAAUUUUUUGGCUACGUUUAUUUUCUUUACGUUUGAGCUUUUCGUGUGCUAGUUAAACAAAGCUCCAAGCCGUGAAACGGAUGCAGGGGCGGUUGAAGAGUUGUGAGCUCUUACAACCUAGAGGUGAUCUACUAUGAAAACGCCCGUUCGUGGUUCGGAAGUGUAGUUGAGGAAGAAGAAAGUUCGAAGUUCUUAAACGAAGAGAGAGAAAAAUGUUCUAAUUUAGAGUGAUAUUCAAAGUGAGUUCAAAUCUCUUUCUUAACUCUCGAUUCUCAUAAUUCUAGUGACUUCAAAAAUUCGAGUUUACUUGAUAGUUCAACGAUGGUUCACUCCGGAGUUAUGGUAGAUAAAUAUCGGAGCCUGCCUAGACAGUCAACAUGAAAGCCCGCGGGUGUUUGACAAAGGCCCGCGGGUCUUCAAACACGUGCGGUCGACGAAGAGCCUGGUGCACGCGGCGAAAAGAAUUGAAACAUACAAACCCGGCAGUUUUUAAACACCCGCGGGUCUAGAGCUCCUUGUCAAAAAGACUGUGUGCGUCGAAAAGAAUUGAAGCAUUCAAGACCCAGCAGUUUUCAACACCCGCGUGUCUUGUGCUCCUUGUCGAAAAGACUGUGCGCGGCGAAGGAGACCUAAACCCGGCAGUCUUUCAACACCCGCGGAUCUAGAGCUCCCUGUUGAAAGUUUUCAACACCUGCGAGUCUUUCAGCACGACUGAAAGAACGGUCUGUCGGGUCUAACGCACGCGGCGACGAAGGUGUUUUAGACCCGCGGGUCUAAAGCGCGGCGGACAACAGCGUUGGACAGUUCAGUUUGUCAGAAACACAAAGACCUAGUGGGCUUGUUGUUUGUCCGUCCUAGGUUUUCCAAAGUUUUCUAAGCCUAGGUGAAAGCCCGCGGGUCUUAUCCCAGGUCUUUAACCUUGAAAUGUCUUGUGUUUUAAACUCGUUAAAAACUUAUAAAUUUUCAGGAAAAGUGGAUUAGUAUUUAAAUCUUAAAACAAAUUCACUAGAUAUUCCACUAUUCUACUUAUCAAAUUUGAAUCGAGUUUCAAAGAGUGAGANNNNNNNNNNNNNNNNNNNNNNNNNNNNNNNNNNNNNNNNNNNNNNNNNNNNNNNNNNNNNNNNNNNNNNNNNNNNNNNNNNNNNNNNNNNNNNNNNNNNNNNNNNNNNNNNNNNNNNNNNNNNNNNNNNNNNNNNNNNNNNNNNNNNNNNNNNNNNNNNNNNNNNNNNNNNNNNNNNNNNNNNNNNNNNNNNNNNNNNNNNNNNNNNNNNNNNNNNNNNNNNNNNNNNNNNNNNNNNNNNNNNNNNNNNNNNNNNNNNNNNNNNNNNNNNNNNNNNNNNNNNNNNNNNNNNNNNNNNNNNNNNNNNNNNNNNNNNNNNNNNNNNNNNNNNNNCGUGUGCUUUUCGAGUUUGCAUUUCUUUUAUUUGCAUCGGUUUUUUAAUUUGCUUGAUUAUUUGGAUUUUUAUUUUAGAAACCUAAUUCACCCCCCCUCUUAGGUUGCCAUUUUGAUCCUCAGACCACUCAACUCUAACGGGACUACUCAACACUAAUGGACAAAUAUCAUCCUAACCAUAUAGUUUUUUUAAAAUUUUUUUUACCAUCAAUAGUAUAUAUAUAUAUAUAUAUAUAUAUAUAUAUAUAUAUAUAUAUAUAUAUAUAUAUAUAUAUAUAUAUAUAUAUAUAUAUAUAUAUAUAUAUAUAUAUAUAUAUAUAUAUAUAUAUAUAUAUAUAUAUAUAUAUAUAUAUAUAUAUAUAUAUAUAUAUAUAUAUAUAUAUAUAUAUAUAUAUAUAUAUAUAUAUAUAUAUAUAUAUAUAUAUAUAUAUAUAUAUAUAUAUAUAUAUAUAUAUAUAUAUAUAUAUAUAUAUAUAUAUAUAUAUAUAUAUAUAUAUAUAUAUAUAUAUAUAUAUAUAUAUAUAUAUAUAUAUAUAUAUAUAUAUAUAUAUAUAUAUAUAUAUAUAUAUAUAUAUAUAUAUAUAUAUAUAUAUAUAUAUAUAUAUAUAUAUAUAUAUAUAUAUAUAUAUAUAUAUAUAUAUAUAUAUAUAUAUAUAUAUAUAUAUAUAUAUAUAGUCCACUGAGAUACUAUCGAUACCGUCAAGAGCUUGGUGCUACUGAGUUUUCCGUCGUUAGAUUUAAUCCUUUGACUAUUUUUAUCCGUUAAAUUAUAUUAUUCAAUCUAUAACUAAUUCAAUUCUAGAGGGUUCACAUCAUUCUAACCGUACAUUUUUUCAUUUAAUGACCGAAAAUCUAAUAGCACAAAUAGCUUGGUACUAUUGAUAGUAUUCCAGCGAGUUGAGCUAGAAUACUCUCAAAAGCAUCAUGAAGGUAGUGAUUUUGAGUUUUUAGCCAUUAAAUGGAGGGAUGUGAGGUUGAGAUGAUAGUGGUAGGUAAAAUAGUGUUUGAUCCAAAAACUAUUAGUAAUCAAGAAGUAAAUUCAAAGGCUAAAAACUUGGAAGCGCACCAAGAGAUUGGUGCUUCUAAUUAAAAGUAUUCUAGCUCAAUUAGUAUUCCAGCAUAUAUAUAUAUAUAUAUAUAUAUAUAUAUAUAUAUAUAUAUAUAUAGAGAGAGAGAGAGAGAGAGAGAGAGAGAGAGAGAGAGGUUUCUAUACUUUCGAAAGUACGGAGGCCUCCGUACUUGUAAGUUAUUUUCAAUGAUGGGACUUCCAAUUCGGCGAUCGGUUUCAUUAAAUAUGAUCUACGCUAUUGGAACUAUCUAGAAACCAAAUUUCAUAAUUUUUGACUUUGUUUGCCUAGUGAACGAGUAGCAUUAAAAUGAACGGCUGAAAAUAAAAAUCUCAUAAAAAACAGUGAUAAAAGACUCAAAUUUCAAAUCAGUAGUAUUGUUCUUACUCUUAAUGUUAAGUAGAAUUUUCUAUUAAAAUUUCACAUAAUUUGAAAACUUCUACACCGUUGAAUUUAAAAACAUGUCACAUCGGCCGUUAAAAUAGUCAUUUUUGAGAUCCUGUGAUCGUUUGGUAAAUGAUGUCGAAAAAUUAUAAAAUUUGGUUUCUAGAUAGUUCCAAUAGCUUAGAUUUUGCCUAACGGAGCCGAUCGUCGAAUCGGAUUUCCUAGAAUCGAAAACAACUUACAAGCACGGAGGCCUUCGUACUUUCGAAAGCACGGGAGACGUACUAUAUAUAUAUAUAUAUAUGUAUAUAUAUAGUGCGGCUAGAAUGCUUAUGGAAGCACGGAAGGCUCCGUGCUUCCAUUUUGUUUUCGAUGUUCGGACUUUCGAAUCGGCGUUUGGCUUCGUUAGACUUGAUCUAGAGUAUUUGAAAUAUCUAGAAAAUAAAUUUUGCGAUUUUUCGAUAUCAUUUGCCUAGUGAUCGAAGUGGCUCAAAAUCAACGGCUGAAAAUAAAAAUCUUACAAAAUAUGAUGAUAUGACAUUAAAAUUUUAGAUCAAAGUUAUUGAUCUUGUUUUAUAUGGUAUAAAGAAUUUUCUAUCAAAAUUUCAUGUGAUUUGGAUAUUUCUACACCGUUAAACUUGCAACCGGCUCACCACGGCCAUUAAAAUUAUUGAUUUUGAACCCCUUCGAUAACUAAGCAAAUAAUAUCGAAAAAUCACAAAAUUUAUUUUCUAGGUACUACAAAUACUCUAGAUCAGCUCUAACGGAGCCGAUCGUCGAUUCGAAAGUCCGAACAUCGAAAAUAAUUUGAAAGCACGAAGUAAGCAUACCAGCCCACUCUAUAUAUAACACUC